rnacentral:lncRNA from 1 species
GGGUGGACUCAUGCAGUAGGUCCCGCUGCGGCCGUGGUGGCGGCGGUUCCCGGCGGAUUCGGGGUCAGGUUGGACCCUGCUUGUUUAUGCCUUAGCUAGUAGUAGUAGUGGUGGCAGUGAUGGAUGAUGGGUUGUGUGAUUGUUCCUGAUGAGUCGCCGUUGUGAUCUGUGUUAUUGCUUAUUCUUUUGUACCAUACCGCAUUGUUGGAUGUAUAUCUCUCCUGUUGAGGCGUGUGUUCUAUGAAUAAAGACGAUGGACCUCGUUCGCUCGUCAGGUGGCUUUCUUUGUUCGAGGUGUUCUCUUCAUAGCACUUGUAGACAACACACUACUUUGUGUUCUAUGCCUUGGAUACGGUUUUGGAGAGUACUGGGUAGUAACUAGGACCAGCAAGAGAUCUUUAAGCAGUUACACAACCAAAAGAUUCACUCUGAACCGUCUCGUCGGAACAUCUAACAUUUCGUCGACAAAGUUGAGAGAUGAGAGGUGUAUAUACACUGCCCCUCAAAAUAUGGGAGGAAAUGGGGCAAGUCGGAGAUCUAUUGUUCUACAGGACAGGUGCGUCGGUAACCAGAAAGAGGUGGCGGCGAAAUAGCUAUCGUGGCGAAGAGAGCACCCACGGGUUAACUGAACUUACCAUCUCUCGUCUUCAGUGACAGAGCCACCACCGUGAAGUCGCUUCAGAAUUCAGAUUUCCAGAACCAAGCUCAAAAUUAAUACUGGCUUGGAAAAACGGUAUACUAGACAUGCUGCAGAGCGUACGAGUAUGAUUUAGUUUGGUCACAACAACCAAUCAACUACCAACUGGACAGGAAGUGCUAGCAAGCUUCCAAUUGGCUCGAUUUGGACUGCUCCCUUCUAGAUGUCAUGAACAUUCAGCAGGAGAUAAAAUUCAGAAAUGACUGCCCUCUUUUCUGGAUGUUUUUUAAUAUUCAUUACAAAGCCAAAUCCAGCCAUUCAGGAAUGCCAUGUCUGGUCAAAGAACUCACUCCAACCAACUCAGCCUGUUUGGUGAAAGAUGCUACACGAACUGUGCACUUGAAGUAACGAUUGGGUUUUCCGUUUUCCCUAGACAUGCAGCCGAGUCAGUAGGUACGACAACCUGGGAAACAAGCAGGGUUUGUGAUCAGCUAGUAGCGUAAAAGCAAUAUAGCAUCGUAUAGGAAGCUUGGUAGGAUAUAGAACACCCACCUCAUAAGCCUGGCAAUCGCAGCACUUGCACCGUCAGCAUCAUUGUGAUUCAGUAAAGCGUCUUCCAAACGGCCAUCGCUGUAGGCAUGCUGAAAAAGAUGCAAUAUAAUUACAGGUGUGAGAACUAGGAUUCGUUCUAAGAAUAUUUUACCGAUGAAUUCAAAACAUAGAAGUACAUUCAUUAAGUAAUCUGAAUUAUUCAUUCACAUUAAAUAACUGGAAUUUCUUUGGAAUAGUGCAUAGCACCACCGGAAGACUCACAAGAUGCUAUUACUGCAACAGGAAACUCAUAUAGGACUAGGAACUAAAGUGAGCCCUUGUGGAGGGCCAUUAAGCAGUUCAUCAGGACAAACAGUAUAGUUUCUCUUCCAAGUUCUGAAGCGCUAUGACAGUCACUACUGGACGGUAUCAAUUAUCAGAAACAUGUGUUGUACCUUUGAUAUCAUUUUCUCGAAAUGAAAAUCUUCAGAUAUCAAAACGAAUGGGCAGAUGUCUUCAAUAAAUAAACAGAUAUUGUACUGUAUUAUGAAAUGGUAGCUGCUCAUUGUGGGCAUGCAGUUUGAAGGAGCACAGUUCAGCUUAAAAUUACGAUCGAAUUCAAGUACUGACAGCAAGCAGCUUAAAAUUGCAAAUUGCUAUAGAAGGUUCCACUUUCAAAUUACAAAGAUGUAUUGGCAACAAAACUGGCAUCGUUAACUGGAAAAUGUCACUUAUGAUAAGUUGAUUGUGUUUCACCCAAACAUGGGAAGACACAUAAUACUGCUCUGAAGCAUGUAACUGAACAAAAAGGCAGGAAGUAGGCAGCUGGAAAAAUUUAGUUGUAAUUCUGACAUUACAGCAGACAUUCUUCACAAUACGAAACAUUUAGACAACAUAACUGUACCUUGUAAAAGCAGCUGCUCCCAAAGGGGCAAGUGCCCUUUCCGAAGUCAAAGUGCUUACAAUCAAUAGACCUGCAACAACAUAUGCGCAGAUAGUGAAUCAGCUUCCGCUGUGGCAGAAAAUACAACAGAAGUUUUAUUCCAAGCAGAUCAGCAAUCCAUCUUAGAAAACAGCAUUUGCAUUACUUAACGCAAAUUAAACACUACAGAUAUCUUGCUGUUAUUAAGCUGAGCAGUUUGAAACAUAUCACAUAAACAAUGUGCAUAAGGAUAAAACAAAACUUCAAAUCAAUUAUCUUACCUAAGCUUAGCCUUGUAGCCUUCAACGAUUUCCUGUUUUUCUUCCUUCGAGGAGUACCACGUAACGCUAGGAACUACAUAGUAUGACAAUUUGCGGCAUAUUGGACAAGCCCUGAGUGUAGAGUUGACAUCCAUGCCAGACGUAGGAGAGGUGCUACGCCAAUUCCUAAUGCACGAGAUACAGAAGGAAUGGUCACAGUCAGAUAGCAGACCAAACCUCCUUUCUGCUGCUGUAGGUUUUGAAAACACACGGUCCAAGCACACACCGCAUUCUAUAUCUUCACUUUUUCUCAAGGCAUCAAGAAGUCUGUUGUUUUUCUUGCAUAGCUUGACAUGCACACCACUUUCGUCAGGACGGUAAGGAUGCAAGCACUGUUUUUCACAGAAUGCGCAUAGAUCUCCAUGCAUCUGAGAACAGCCUUUCCCAUAAGGGCAAGUGCCAGCAGCAGCAGAAGAGCAAAUUGGCAUAUAAGCAGGAUCUUGAGAUGUUUGAUUUUGCACAGUUUGAUAGGACGGCCAGCUGUUAGCAUCCUCUGGAGUGUCAUGUUCAUGAUAAUCAACUGCCCAUGCAGGUUGAUGUGCAGAAAGUGCUGUUGUAGACUCGCAUAUCUGCUGCGUUUGGUCCCAUAGAUCCGUUUGGUAUUCACUGCAAUGACUUCCAGAAGAAGUGACUAGCUGAGAAGAAUUGGAGGAUGCACGCGCUGCAGUGGUUGCUGGUUGGGAGCAGUUCCGAUGAACUUCAACAUGUUCAUUUCUGCAAUGGCUACCAAAGGAGCAUGCGCCUUUCUGGUAAAAUGUGCAAACCUGUAGGUGAGAGCAUUACAAUAAGAAAUACUGGAUCAUGCAAAUGUAAAUCAGGUAGUGCAAGGAAAGUGGUCUGAUCAACUGAAGUUAGAAGUAUGUAGGUUACAUUAUCUGGUUGAUCAUUGCAGUCAUGGGAGAAUUCACAGUAAUCUCCUUUGAAGCACGCUCCAUGCAAGAAGAAUUUGCAAGGGACCCUGAUGAAUAAAAUAAAGUGAUAACAUAAGAGAUCUUCAUCAUUCUAAAUUUUUAUAUGUUCUACAUUGACAGCACCAUCAAAUUUUCAGUAUGCUAUGUCAACCGAUCUAAUCCUCAAUGAGAGGCAGCUAAGAUCAGUAUAAACAUACAAGAAGUGCAAGAUCGGUUACUCCAGCUUUUCAGGGCUUUAAACAAACAAUCUAUCCCCAGCGGUGUGUUUAUCAUGUACCACCGAACUGACAACAUGAUAGGCCUAUUUACUUUCUGUUUUCCUAGUACUUUACUGAACUUGGAAGUGUUCUUCCUGCUCAUCUUUCUAUCAUAUAAACCAUCAAUUGAGAUGUACUGUCAAACAUUUCCACACAUCCUAUUUUAUUGGUGCAGGUGUACCAAUACACUUUAAUUCAAAUUUUACCUCUAUACCCUGCCUUCUGUCCUGUUAUUCACUUAUUCUAAAAUUACACCACCACUUUCACUCAGGCUUGGGGCCUUUCGCGAAAAUAGCAAGAGCAACGGAGGAAAAAGGUAGAACCAUUGAUCCUGUAUUCCUCAUACUAUUGCAUUCAGCAAUUCAAGAGGACAUUUUUGUGCCACUCCCACUAGUUCCAUGACUCGGAAUGUACCGAGUUGAGUUGAAUACGUGAUGAAAUUCAUAAUGAUGCUCCACCAAACCACUACACGUGGUCUGAUUUUGCCACAAGCACAACCAGACGAAUUAGAAUGAAAAAGACAGGUCCCUCGGGAGAUUAAUUUAGUCGCCUCGAUGGUUACAAACGUCCUGAAACCGAAUUGCAGCCUCCCUAAAGCCAAUACUAUCUUAAUUACCACAAAUAGACAAGGACGAGCAGCAUCACGCCCAAAUCUAGACCACCGCGCUAACACCCAGCUCCAUUUGCAGGAAGACCGCGCUGCGAUGCUAUACGAAUACUGAAAUCCAAGCUAAAUCCAGACUAAAUUUCUAACACCAACACGAACGCGAUCGGCCUCUAAGCUUAACAGCAUCUCACCCAGCUCGAAAUCGCUAAAAAAUGCAGCCAAAUCGAGCAUGCAGGGGCAGGCAGCCGAAGUGUUACCUCCUCGACAUGCCCGCCGAGCCGGGAUCGAGCUGCACCGUCGACGAGUCCGGGGACACCAAGGCGACGCGAGGUCCUCCCCCGUCUCCGCCGCCGCGGGUGCCGCCCGCCGAACGCCUAGGGUUUGGUCGGUGCAGCGCGAAGCUCCGCCUCGGUCGGUACCUUUCGUCGUCCUCGCGCCUCCGCAGGUCAGCUUUGUGGUGGGCACCGAAGCGGGGAAUCGCCUUCUCCUAAAAACGGGAGGGGCGCGGAAUGACGGUUCCGCCCCCGGGGACGUGGCGGGACGAGUGGGUGGGGCUUCGGGCAGAAGCGGGAAUUCGGCGGCGGGGAGAGGGAGGGGAGCCUGGAGCUAUGUUCCCGCCUGAUUGUGCGGCCAACCAUCUCUGCUUGCGUUGCGCCUCGCGGCCGGAGGUAAACGGCGAACAGGGGUUGUUCGCUGGCGGAGGGGCUCAGGGGCGUGUGGGGCCAUGUGGGCGUGUUGUGAUCGGCAAGGCUGGCAAAGCACGUGGAGAAAAUUAACUGCGUAUCAUCAUCGAACAAAAACUUGUAAUGAAGUGUUUGGUCGAGAAUUGAGAUAGUGGCAACGCAAAUGAACGAAAUCAAAUCACUGGUAGAAUCACAGGUGGAACGAACGAUUACAAGUUUUGUUUGGUUUGAUACUUAUUACAUAGCAUGUUUAGAGGGCGUUUGGUUCCCUUUGCUUAUUUUUAGCACGUGUCACAUCGAAUGUUUAGGCACUAAUUAGGAGUAUUAAACGUAGUCUAUUUACAAAACCCAUUACGUAAGUGGAGGCUAAACGGCGAGACGAAUCUAUUAAGUAGGCUUAAUAGAUUCGUCUCGCCGUUUAGCCUCCACUUACGUAAUGGGUUUUGUAAAUAGACUACGUUUAAUACUUCUAAUUAGUAUCUAAACAUUCGAUGUGAUGGGUGCUAAGAAUAAGUUAGUGGAACUAAACACCCCCUUAUAGUAAACCUGUAGCAUCAUCGAACCUCCAGCUUUGACCUGCUUCAGGUUGCGGGUGGGCUGGGGGCAGGAGCCCCGCUACCCCGUGCCCUCUAAAAAUUUCAGUUAUGAAUGGAGAAGGGGAAGAAAGAAAAUGAGCCCCUUUCUUCAAUUUCUGGAAGCGCAAAUGGGUGUCACUCGCUAUCAGCUCCUCGUGUUAAAGGGAAUACAAGUAGAGGAGAGAACUGAAAUGCUUGCAAAGAGAGAAUAUGAUUGGUUAAUAUCGAGGAUCGAUAGUACGGAGAUUGUAACUAGUGGUUGCAGGCUAAAUCCGACCAACUACAAGUAUAUUCUUCCCGCCUCAAUUUGAUUACGUUACAAAUUUGCAAACUAUAAGCAGCGCCUAGGAUGAAUAUCGUCACAUAAACGUAGAUUCAAAUGGAUUUAUCGAGAACACGCUUAAAAUGGUCUAUUUGCGUAUUUAUAGUUAAGUUCACUUGCACUUUAUAUUGAUGUGUUUUAAGAUUAACGAGGGUAGUUACGAUUCGGAUGAUAAUGAGUUAUUGGGCAGUCAGCAGGGACGGAGUUAGGAAAAUAAAUCAAAGGAGAUCAAACAGAAUAAAUUAUAGUGUUGUAGCUAUUUUCUAUACGAUCUACUAGCAUUGAAUAAAGUAGUUCAUCGGUUCGGAAAAAAGAGAGAUUAAAGUAGUUCAUCAGGCUUAGGGGGGCAUGGCUCCCCCUGACCCCUAGCUUCGUCCAUGCUUUGUUUAUAGUCAUCACUAAUCCAUUGUCAAUGGUGUUAACAUUAAGCUAGCACAACCUCAUGUGUUUUCACUAAUCCAUGGCCACAAAACCUCGACCAAAGUGUAUUCACAUGUUCACCUCCGCUUAGGAAGCUUCUUCAUCUCUUGACAUGGCACUAACCCAUUAAAGCAAGUUACCCUGCUUAAACUCACCCCACUAGUUCUCCUUCACCACCCGAAAAAGAAAAGUAGAUGUUCUCUUUUUAAGGUCGCUAUACGAGUAAAACAUUAUAGCAGUUUUCUAAAGAAAGUUAAAUAUUGCUUGAGGAGAUGUUAUGAGUUCGAUCCACUAGAAGCGCAUAAAUUAAAUUUGAUAGAAUUUAAGUUUAUUGCAAAAGAUCCUUUGUGGCAGUUACGAACCGGUUUGCCAAGUUUUUCUAAUAGAGUGCUAGGCAAAGAGUUGCCAGGAUUUCUUACAAGAUUAAGUUGUUUUAUGCAAAAAAAAAAAAACGUUCCAAACGUUAUGCACAAAGUAGUCGAGAGUUACUCACAAAAAUUACACUAAGUCUUCGAUAAUCUCACCCUCCUUUGUUUUUUUAGUUAGAAAAUUUGCAAAAGUCCACACACAAACUAGUGGGUUUCAAAACCCCAUUUGCAUCUCGCUUGCUUACAGUGUCUGGCACAUGCAAGUUCUAUUCUAUUUUUUUCAAAUAUACGAUGUAUCCGUUGACAAACUAAUGUAGUUGUCACGAAGGAAGCCUCGUCGAUGACUUGCUCAUUCCCAGUAUGUUUGCCAAAGAGUUUUCUCAAAGUUUGGCAUGUUUAUGAUUGAGGUAAAUUCUAUUUUUCUCAAGUUUAGAUUCAAUAUUUGCGGACGAUGUGACUCCUACUUGGUUCAGCUUUUGACACAAUGGUGCGUUAACGGUGCCCACAACCACCGCAUGGGCAUUGUGAAGCUGAUUUUUCGAACCAACCUCGAGCUUCCUUUUUUCAAUAAAAAUAAAUAAAAUAAAUUGUUUCUAGGGGGACUUCGAGUCUUUCCACUGGUAGUUCAUACUACCAGUUCAGAAAACACCGGUAGGGAGAACCAGAUGCUCGCGUCUCGCGACGUCAGAACCCCCGGCCCCGGCGCCUCCCGCGCCGGCGCCGGCAACCCCCGCCCAGCCACCGCCCUUGAUACCCCUCGCAUCAGCGCUACCCAGCUUGACGCCGGCGCCGGUGCACUAUGCACUGCCGCUGGCGCCCACGCCGCCGCCGCUAGCGCAUCUCGCGCUACCGACAGCAACCACCCAACACCUCCACCCCACAACAGCCGCUUUCGCCGCGACAAGCUGACGACGCGCAAUGGAUUGGCCAGCGCUGCAAGAACUCCAGUCGACAAAGUCGCCGCUCGCCCGGGUUCCAAGCUCCAGGAACUACUCCUCCACGACUUCCACUCAGUAGCUUGCCCAGGUGCUCUCCCCUCUGCUCCGGACUCUUUUAUUUGGAUCACUCCCCCGUUCUUGGCCAUGCGUUUCAACUCCUCCUAUGUAUCCUCGGUUCUCUCCUUCCAUCUCACCGCACCCCCCUCCUCGUCCGCUCUACCGCCGUCGCCUCUGGUGUCUUCCGCGCUCGACUAUCAAGCGCCAAUGUUACCAACUUCAUCCUUUCGCGGAGGCACCUCAGUUUCGCUGGCCUAAGGUUUUGCCUUCAUCAUUCGGAAGCUCGAGCCAUGGCCACAGCCGCUUGCUUCCGUGAGGAAGACGAAGCCGUUAUUGCGGCCUACCCACUAACUGUGCCCCAGCCUGACAGGUGCGAGGCACAAGGCGCCAGUCUCCCCCAGCUCCUCCCUGGCGACCAAAUGAACGCUUUGGCAUGUCAGAGACCUGCCACUGGGUACAAUCCGCGGAUUCAGAAGGAUACGCCCUUUACUCCAAGCGCUGACCUCGGCCUGCUCCCCCUGCCGAAACACGCCUCCCGCCGCACGGAUGUGACCGGGAGUGGCGACACUGAACGCGACGUCGCGUCCGCGUUCACUGCGCCGCCCCCCCCGGCGCUCAACCCUAUCUCCUCGCUGCGCGCGCACCUGCCUCCUUAACUCCGACGCCCGCACGACGAUACUCAAAACCCAUCCCCCUCCACCACGGCGGCUGCCAUCGCUGCCUUUCUCGCGACCACCGUGUUCGGGACUGCAGAGACCCUAUACGCUGCCGCUUCUGUCGCGGGUCUGGGCACCGCGGCUACGCUUGCCCCAUGGCGUUCCCACGCGAGCAGAUUCCCCACCCCCGCCGCCGCCCCACCAUUCCCCUCCCCGCGUCACGUGUGCCAAUCAACGUGGUCCCUUUCCUCCCCCGCAACUCGCCUCCGCCUUCUGCCACGCCAACGCCUCCGUCCACCCCGCUCAACCUCCCUCCUUUCACCACGACCUUCGACCCGCUGCGUAUGCUUGCCUCCACAAGCCGUGCCCCCGCGAUCGCGGAGCGGGUGGCUGAACCGCGACACCCUACCUCGAAGGAGGGGCCGUUUGGACCUCGGCGACUUCUUCCGCGAGCCCCUAGCUGCUGCCGCAGCCCCCUCCCCCCUGAUCCACGCUGCGCUCCAUGUCGCGGCGCUGCACCUGCGCUUCCAGCUGCUCCCGUCACCCUGUGGUGUGGCACUGCUACACUUUGGCUCCCCCGCGGCGCGGGAGAUGGCAAUGGACGCGCAGCCAGUGCACCUCAACGGCGCCACUGUCACGCUCGAGUGCGCGGAGGAAACUGAUGAUCGCUUCGUCCGUGAGCCAGAAUGGCUUGCGCAUGUCGCCAUCUGGAAUCUGCCUCCCGAGCACUGGUCGGUCGAGCAGGUGCGUGACAUCCUUCGCCGUGUCGGCACCCUCAUCGAAGUGGAUCCUUUUUGCAGCCCUGGCUUCGACCGUUCCUGCAUGCGCGUGGUGAUUGAGCUGCAACACCCCCGUCUCCCCAGCCGCCUCAGCGUCCACACCCCGAGCGACCGCGGCGUCGUUCUGCGCCUGGGCGGUCUGGCCUUCUGGCCGCGCGAGCAGCAGUUCGACGAGGCGGGAGGCUGGAUCCCGUUCUUCGGCCCAACUCCGCCACCACCGCCACCUCCUCAAAACCACGGUCUACACCCCACUCUGCCGCCUAACAACCUAGCGCCUCCGCCUCCACCAGCCGCACACCUGCCAGAGCAGCAGCAUCCCGCGCCGCUACACCCAGCAUCUUUCACUGGCGCCUCAAUCCUCUGCCACGGCUUCAUAAAUCCUUUCCCCCUGCCACCCCUACCCGCUUUCCCCAUCCUGAUCCAGUUACCCCCCUCGGACACCAGUGGAGACCUGGGGAGCUAUGGCGCCAGGCCGGUCCUGCUCCUCACCUGGCGCCCCGCCGCGCCUGAACCAUGCCCGCCACCCACGCCUCCCAACACACCGUUGCCAGCGCACUCCCCCAGGCGACCUCUCGGCACUGCUGCGCCUCCCCCCCAACCCCGCCACCUGCAACAUCAGAUGCGCCCCCGCGCUGCCCAUCUCGCCCACCCCUCCGCAAACGCCAUAGCGCCCGCUUGGCGGCAAAAGAAGAUGGUAAAUUCGUGGACGCCACUGCCAAAGCAGCCCAACUCAAAGCUCUCCGCGAUAGCCUCGCACUCUGUUCGUCUGCAGUUCAAGCCCAUGUUACUAAGAAGAAGCUGCUGAUGAGGAAGAAGAAGCCAAUCUCUGGAGCGGACUUAGUGAAGCUUGCCGAUGCUGUGGGGCUCGGUCAGGAGACGGCCAAAGCUCUGGACCGGGUCCUUGCCAUCGGGAAGGCCACUGCUGCUCAGCUGAACAAGGUGCUUGACGCCCCCAAUGCUUGAACUCCGGAAGGCUUGCACCCGUUUCUGCUGUUUGCCCACUCUUUGCAGAGACGUCAGCUACCUGUCCGCCUAUGUGUGUCUGUUGCUUCUUCGCCAUGGGUCUAGUGUCUGGUCCUCCAGUGUCUUAGCUCCUCGUCUUAUGCCUCUAAUGGAUGUUCUCCUGCUCUCACUCUGGUGUUGUAAUCGUACCUAUGAAUCUUAAUUUUAGUUCCUUUUCCCUUCUAUCCUGGAAUGUUCGUGGCCUCGGAGAUCCGCACAAGUGCACGAUUGUUAAAGACUCUGUUUCCUCCUCGCAUCCUAGCAUUGUUUGUCUGCAGGAAUCCAAGCUGUGUGCCCUGGAUGGCCUCAAGGCUCGCUCCUUCUUGCCUCCUGCCAUCACCGCCUUCCGCUGUGUCGACGCCUCGGACACGCGUGGUGGGAUUAUCACUGCGUGGGAUCCAUCGAUGUUCACUGCUGAUUCUUUCAUCGCUCGACGUCAUACUCUUACUAUUUUUCUUUCCUCCACGGCCUCCAACUACUCCUUCGCGGUUACUAACAUCUAUGCUCCCGCGGACCAUCGCGACUCUCUGUCCUUUCUUGAACACCUGCAUGAACUCGCCCAACACAUCUCGGGGGCCUGGGCGUUGGUGGGCGACUUCAACCUAACCAAGAGUGGCCAAGAAAACAGCAAUGGCUCCUCCCAUCCCGGCCUCUGCGCUGCCUUCAACGCUACUAUCGACGUGCUCUCCCUCCUUGACCUGCCUCUCCUGGACCGCCUUUUCACCCGGUCCAAUCACCGCGAUUCUCCUACGCUCGCCCGCCUUGACCGCGCUCUCUUCAACUUAGCGAUGAACACAACCUUCCUGAACUCCUCCCUGUGUUCCUUACCAAAAACCACCUCUGAUCACACCCCUCUCCUCCUCCAAAUGUCCACCUCUAUCCCGAAAGCCAACGUCUUCCGCUUUGAAAACUCCUGGCUCCAGGAUAUAAACUACCUCCCUACCAUCCUGCCAGCUUGGGCUCAGAACGACAACUUUGACGCGGCUGGCGCGAUUGCUCGCGCGCUUAAGGCAGUCCGCUGCGCGUCUAAGGCUUGGGCGCGAUGUAAGCGUGCUCCCCCCGCUCUACCCUCCAACUGCAAAUUCAUCAUUUUUCUGCUUGAUGUGCUCGAAGACUUUCGCUGUCUUUCUCCAGGCGAAGCGCUGCUGCGCCGGGCGUGCCAAGACAGGCUUGCACUAGUGCUGCGCGAACGGGCUGCGUUCUGGAAACAACGCGGCAAGUUCCGCGCGAUGCGGGAAGGCGAUGCGAACACGCAGUUUUUCCACGCGCAGGCCACCAUCCGGCUGCGCCGGAAUAACAUCCGCGCCCUAAACAUCAAUGGAGUGGUGCUGAGCUCGCACCAGGAGAAGAUGACGGCUCUCACGGUCCACCUCCAGAGCUCGCACGGUGAAUCUGAGCAGGGUCGACCUUGCUUCCUUGUACUCAGGCUUGCCACGCGCGGCAAGCGCCCCGCUCCUUGCCCCCUUCACCGCAAACGAAGUGCGAGCAGCUGUCCGCGCGAUGAACAGGACAAGCUCACCGGGCCCCGACGGGUUCGGCCCCUCCUUCUAUGCCGUGGCUUGGGACACGGUAUGUCCCACGGUGAUGGCGCUUGCGCAGGCGUUCCAGGAGGGGACGGCUGAGCUCGAGCGUAUCAACCGUGCCUAUGUUGUCAUGAUACCGAAGCAUGCGGCAGCGAUGUCGCCGGGCGACUACAGGCCGAUCUGCUUGCAAAAUUGCUCCCUCAAGAUCGUCUCCAAAAUGAUGACUUCACGGCUCCAGUGUCAGAUCUCCAAGCUGGUUGACCCGGAUCAAACAGGCUUCAUCAAGGGGCGUUCGAUCUCUGAAAGCUUCAUCUAUGCAACUGAGUUGGUCCAGUGCUGUCAUAGACGACGACUGCCUAUUGUGGUCCUGAAGCUGGACUUCGCAAAAGCAUUUGAUUUAGUCGAUUGGCGCUGCCUGGCUACCGUUCUCGCGGCUCGGGGGUUCCCUGCGCAAUGGACUGCGUGGACUCUCUCGUUGCUGCACAGCUCCAAACUCGCGGUACUGAUGAAUGGGGUGCCUGGGCCUUGGUUUCCCUGCAAACGCGGUCUUCGGCAGGGUGAUCCGCUGUCUCCUUACCUGUUCCUGCUCGUUUCAAAUGUGCUCCAGCAAAUGAUCAAGCAAGAUCGCAGAAUACUCCACCCGGCCAGCUCUGACCAUCCAUGCCCGGUGUUACAGUAUGCGGACGACACAUUGAUCCUCCUGCAGGCCGACCAGGAUAGUGUGGUGGCUCUGAAGCAAGUGCUGGACCUCUUCUCUGAUCUCACUGGGCUGCACAUAAACUUUAGCAAAAGCACCAUGGUUCCUAUGAACGUCGACAUACAUCAGGUAACUGCCUUGCAGCAAGUCCUUGGCUGUCAGCUCGGCUCUUUCCCUCAAUCUUACUUGGGGCUCCCCUUAUCAAAUGAGAAGCUCAAACUCUCGGCCUUCACCCCUCUGAUUGCCCGGGCAGACCGACAGCUCAGUGGAUGGCGCGCCUGCCUCCUCAACUCCGCAGGGCGAGCUGUGCUGAUAAACAGCGUCAUGGAUAGCCAGUUGACGUAUGCAAUGUCCGUUCUCCUCCCUCCCCCUGGAGUGGUGGAUGCUUCAAACCGUCGACGACGAAGUUUUCUUUGGGCUGGAGAGGAUACGGUCAGUGGUGCUCACUGCCUUGUCGCCUGGGGGCCUGCCAGCCGAAAAAGCAAGGGGGGCUAGGCAUCAAAGAGCUUGGCGCGAAGAACCAAAGUUUGUUGUUGAAGCUUCUACACCGCAUCUUCCGGCCGGGGGAGUCCUCCUGGGCGCGGUGGGUACGCGAGAGGAUUAAUCUAGCCUCGCUACAAGGAUCCCUGGAAGGGGUCCAUUGGGCAGCUCUGGGCAGCAUGCUGCCGCUAUACCGUGCUGUCACGAGCUCUGAAGUUGUCAAUGGCGAGAGCACGAGCUUCUGGCAGGACAGAUGGCUAUCGGUUGGCCGGCUGGCUGCACUAUAUCCUGCUUUGUACUCCCACACUACACAACCGGAAGCCUCGGUGUCGCAAGUCAUUACCGACGGGAUCCACAGGCACCUGAUGCCCAGGCUGACCCAUGCGGCUGCUGCUGAAUUAGACGACCUGAACCUCAAGAUUGGCCAUAUUGCCUUGGGCAGUGCCAAAGACCAACGGCAUAGCACUUUGCCCCCCCCAAUGCGCACUUCCAGUCUGGUGCUGCCUACAAUAAGAUCAUGGAAGCAACCGGGCCUCCUACCUGCACCUUUGCCAAAUUUGUUUGGUCCAACCGAGCACCCCCUCGCGUGCAGUUCUUCGCCUGGCUGAUGGUUCAGGAACGGAUCAGCUGCCAUGCAAAUCUCGUCAAGAAGCACAUCCUCGCUGACCCGGCGUGUGCGCUGUGUGGCCAGCCAGAAGAUUGCGACCAUCUGAUCCUUCACUGCCGCUUUGCUGCUCAAGUCUGGUUGGCGCUUCCCGCCGACACAACUGGAGUUUCGGUUCGCUGUCUGUGGAAUAUCCCCCGCCCCACGACGGUGCCGAGCCGCUACUACUCCAGUUUCAUCCUUCUCGUCUGUUGGUUGCUAUGGAAAUCCCGUAAUGAGCUUGUUUUCCAGAACAUUACCCCGUCGGUCGGGCGCUUCUGGCUUGCAUGCCGCGACGAAGCCCGGCUAUGGAGCCACCGGCUAAAGGUCGAGGAUCGUCGGAUAGCGGAUGCCUGGUGUCUACUUUUUAGUUCAAUGUAAACUAAUGUAAUUCUCCAUCCCUCCCCCGCCUCGUUUUAUUGCUUAAGAUCUAAUGUACUUGCAUUUGGCCACCCUUCGGCCCCUAUAAUGAAAUCAGGUGGGGCACUCCCCCCGUUGACCCCUCAAAAAAAAAUUGUUUCUAGACUAGGUUCGAAAAACUUAAUUUCACUGAUCAAGGCCAGCCCUGUAACAAAUGUUGGCGGGCUAAAACCCAGCAUACUUCUUGAACCGAGCCCGGUUUUAAACGCGCAUGUAGUUGGAUUGUAGGAAAGCCAGAUGGAUAUUUAAAAGCCCCUAGCUUUACAAAUUUUCUUUUUAUUUCGAAAGAAAUUCUGCUUUAUACCUACACUAUCUCGAGAUUAUUGCCACCAGGAUAUUCGUACAGGCCUGCCCCUCACCGCAUCAGCGGGAACAACUUCGGUGCUUUGUGACGAUACAUGACCUCCUCGUUGACCUAAAAAAAAAUACAAAUGCGUGGACCAUUCCAAUUCGAUGUUUCCUACUUCCCAUGCAGUCACUUUCAUAUUUGAACUUUCCGCGACGAGAUAAAUAAAGAACCCUCCUUUAUUCCCCCAUCAGCCACCCCCUCCACAAAUCCAAAUCGCGCGUUCUUCCGCACCGGCUAUCCAACUUGGAAAAGCUACGAUUUCUCUGUUGCCCUUGCCCCUUUACAAUCGAGAACGGACGGUCGAGACUUCGGCCUAAAAUCGAAAAGAAUUCACCAAUAAACAACCGUAUGAUUGAGCAACCAAUAUUGUUUCCAGUCCCUAUCAAAAUCACGAGUGCUAGGGCCUGUUUGGUUAAUGGGAUUAAAGUUUCUAUCAUAUCGAAUGUUUAAAUACUAACUAGGAGUAUUAAAUAUAAGUUAGGGGUGUUUGGGAACACCGUGCUAAACUUUGGCACCUGUCACAUCGGAUGUUUGAUACUAAUUAGGAGUAUUAAAUAUAGUCUAAUUACAAAACUAAUUACAUAGAUGGAGUCUAAUUCGCGAGACAAAUAUAUUAAGGCUAAUUAAUCCAUCAUUAGCAAAUGGUUACUGUAGCACCACAUUAUCAAAUCAUGGACUAAUUAGGCUUAAUAGAUUCGUCUCGCGAAUUAGACUCCAUCUAUGCAAUUAGUUUUGUAAUUAGCUCAUGUUUAGUCCUCCUAAUUAGCAUCCGAACAUCUGAUGUGACCCUGCUAAAGUUUAGUAUCUCGUAUCCACCCCUUACUUAGAAAAUCAAUUGCAUAAAUGAAGGCUAAUUUGUAAGACGAAUCUAUUAAGCCUAAUUAGUCCAUGACUUGACCAUGUGAUGCUACAGUAAAUAUGUGCUAAGCAUGGAUUAAUUAGGAUUAAUAAAUUCGUCUCGCGAAUUAGUCACAGCUUAUGCAAUUAGUUUUAUAAUUAGUUCACGUUUAGUCCUUCUGUAUCAAACAUCCUCCGAACUAAAAAUUCCAAACACCCCAUAAAAAAUCAAAAAUAGAAGAAAUACAUGCAUCCAGCCUAGUUGCUGACCAUCCAUCCAUCCCAUCCCCAAAAGGCCGCAACCAACCUGCACGUUUCGCACACCCCCAGCCCAUGUUCCGUGCCGCCCUUUCACACUCCGCCCCCGCCCGCCUUCCCCCAAACUUCCCUCGCGCCGGACCCGAUCUGACCAACCAACCCCACAUGGCGGCGCGCAUCCACCGUCCAUCCAGCCCCAAACAAACCCUAGCCCCUCGAUCCGCCGUCCAAUGCCCCAUUUCGCACCAACCACGUCCGCACCCCUCGCGCGCCCCCCGCUGGCCUCGCGCCGGACCCGAUCUGACCAACCAACCCCACAUGGCGGCGCGCAUCCACCGUCCAUCCAGCCCCAAACAAACCCUAGCCCCUCGAUCCGCCGUCCAAUGCCCCAUUUCGCACCAACCACGUCCGCACCCCUCGCGCGCCCCCCGCUGGCCGAUCCCGCCGCGCGGUCUUCGGCGCGCCGCAGCGGAUCCCGCGUGGCGGAGCGAAUCAAAAAACCCGGCAUGGAACGGAACGGCCCCGGUGUGGCCCACCGCGUGGGCGGGGCGCGCGGAUCCACCGGCCCCGCCCGAUCGGACGGCCAGGGCGCGCGGGAGGCCCCACGCGGAGGGAGGGGGGUGUACGCGACUGUGGGGCGACGCUGCGGUGGCGGCGCGGCGGAGAUAAAAGGGCACGCCCCGAGAAGGCCUCGCUCCCCCUCCCAACUCGACGCGCCUCUGAAAGAUCGGAGCCGCCGCCCAGUCUGCCCUCCCUCCCCCCGCCUCCGGUGCCGAAGGGUGAGAGUCUCUCCUUCGCGUCCCCGCCUCCCGUCCUCUGCUCCCGAUUUAGCCUCGUGCUCUCUCGCUCCUAUUUGUGGCGAUCCGUGCCAGAGUGGUGUUAUAUAUAGAUCUGCUCGUUCGGUUGUCCCCUAGAUCCAUUUUCUCCGUUUGUUUUCGCUUGGGAAUUGUUCGUGUGGUGGUCUCGGCCUCUGGGGUUCGUCCAGAUCGGUGCUUCCUGCAUCUGGUAAGGACUGAGAGGCUCACCUGCUGGUCGGUUCAUCUGUGCUUCAGAUCUACCUUGUUUCUUCGUAGAUGUGUGCAUCGCGGGGUUCUCAUGUACUAGCUGGCUCGGAAUCUUGAGAUCUCCGUGGAAUCUUUAGAUCGCGAGGUUAUUGGUUGGUCAGCCGGGGAAGUGGGACAGGGCGAAGAAAAAUAUGGCGCUAUUUUGACUGUUAUUUCGUGAUAGUGACGGUGGCGCGUCAGAUCCGGCUAUGCUGUUUGCACCCGAUGGCGAUCUGACGGCGGCCACCCGUCUCAAUAAUAUCGGUUUAAAUGUGAAAUUUUUUAGACUUGAUCUACCAAUCAUGUGAAAACGAUCUUUGUUAGCAAUCUCCCGGCCGUAGAUCUGUUAUCAGUUCUGUCUUGCGUACAUAAUAGCUGUCGUAUUCCAUGAACACCUUUUUGUGCAGUUUAUUUAGUAGGGAUAUGGGUUUGACUUAUGCUUCAAGCUGUUGAAACCAGUUGUAUCUAAAUGCCCAGUCUCCGUGAACAACUUGUAUUUUGUUACUAUGUAACCUUAGAUCUUUCUGUAUUCAAGGUCUUUAUUGGUACUGCAAACAGCCACCCCCUGUUUAGGGUUCAUCUGUUUUUAAACUACGACUGGAGCAGUCUCCAAACUGUUGAUGCUAUGAUGUUUUUCAGUGCCUAUCAUAGUUUGGUUUGGAGAUCAGGAUAUUCUGCAUUAAUACAGGGUUCCUUCGUUCUUAACUAGAGCAGGCUCCUGAUGCUAUGAUGUUUUCAAUGCUUAUUGUAGUUAGGUUUGGAGAUCAGGAUAGCAUUUGUUAUACGGCUUGGAGGAAUUUGUUACAGUCCAGAACUGUUAGCAUGCUGUAUCUUACUGUCUGUAAUUUUAGUUGCUUGGUUCCUUUGUAUGCAUCUGUUUUACUGCCUGAUAAUUGUUUGUUAGACUUAGGAAACAUAAGUUCAUCUAUGUUUUAUCUCUACAUUGUGCUCUGAAUAUGCUAAUUAACAUGAUGGUAGCAGAUGUUUAAUUUUAAGAGUAAUUGCUUGGUUGAUUUAAAAUUCUGUUUGUGUUUGAAGGGCCUCCACUUUGUCAACGUAUGUUUUGGAACUUAAAAAAAUAUUGCACCUACUGUAAUCUGUUGAAAUGUUUGUGCAGUAGCUAUGCUAGAAACCUUCAGAUCUUUUCUUCAUCAGUCAAAUGUAGGUGAUCCUAUUCUGUUUCUGCUGCUGUGCACUUUCCUAACAUAUCUGCUUGUUGAUGUUAUGGUGCAGGAAAUUGUUUUGAGGUGGUGAUGGCGGACCAGGUCAACCAACCAACUGUCCUUCAUAAGCUCGGUGGCCAGUUCCACCUGAGCUCCAGCUUCUCAGAAGGUGUACGGGCCCGUAACAUCUGCCCUUCUGUCUCGUCUUAUGAGAGGAGAUUUCCCACAAGGAACUACAUGACCCAGAGCCUUUGGGGCCCUUCAAUGUCUGUCAGUGGUGGCAUCAAUGUCCCAGCGGUGUCAUCCUCUCCGCUUUUUGCUAAUGCUCCAGCUGAGAAAGGAGGCAAAAACUUCAUGGUUGAUUUCCUCAUGGGUGGUGUUUCAGCUGCUGUUUCAAAGACUGCUGCUGCUCCCAUUGAGCGUGUCAAGCUGCUUAUUCAGAACCAGGAUGAGAUGAUCAAGGCUGGUAGGCUGUCUGAGCCAUACAAGGGUAUUGGUGACUGCUUCAAACGUACCAUCAAGGAUGAGGGUUUCUCCUCCUUGUGGAGGGGUAACACUGCUAACGUUAUCCGCUACUUCCCUACUCAGGUAGCCCUCGCCUUUCUUCACUUUCCUUAUGCAUGGUAGCAGAGUUUUAUUUUAUUUUCCGUUGUUAGCUGUUGUAUACCGAACAUAUGUUUGUUCGGUACUCCUGUGAUUACUAUCUUUUUUAUAGCAUCCCUUUUUUGUCCUAAGGUUGUUUUAGAAACCAGACCCUUUUUCUCUAGCUGUGUAUAAAGUUAGAAACUAGAUCUGGUUCCUUGAUAAUCCAAUUAUUUUGUUUUCUGUUUUGUUGGUGGGUAAGUUUUAUUUAUAUUCUUACCUUAACAUUUGUUUUUCUUUGUCCUAGGCAUUGAACUUUGCAUUCAAGGACUACUUCAAGAGGCUGUUCAACUUCAAGAAGGACAAGGAUGGUUACUGGAAGUGGUUUGCUGGCAACCUUGCCUCUGGUGGUGCUGCUGGUGCGUCCUCCCUGUUUUUUGUGUACUCCCUGGACUAUGCGAGGACAAGGCUGGCCAAUGACGCAAAGGCAGCCAAGGGAGGAGGUGAUAGGCAAUUCAAUGGUCUUGUGGAUGUCUACCGCAAGACUCUAAAGUCCGAUGGUAUUGCUGGGCUUUACCGUGGGUUCAACAUCUCUUGUGUUGGAAUCAUUGUGUACCGUGGUCUGUACUUCGGGCUGUACGAUUCUAUCAAGCCAGUUGUCCUUACCGGCAAUCUCCAGGUUUGGUCUACUGCCAUUCUGUUUCUCUUUAGCUCAGUUGCUUGGGGUAUGAGCGCCCUAAGCUGUGUUUUUAGUGAUACGAGAGUAAGUUUGUUUUUGUUCUUUGCAGGACAAUUUCUUUGCCAGCUUUGCCCUGGGUUGGCUGAUCACCAACGGCGCUGGUCUUGCAUCUUACCCCAUUGACACUGUCCGCAGAAGGAUGAUGAUGACGUCUGGUGAGGCUGUCAAGUACAAGAGCUCCAUGGAUGCCUUCCAGCAGAUCCUGAAGAAGGAGGGCCCUAAGUCAUUGUUCAAGGGGGCUGGUGCCAACAUCCUCCGUGCCAUUGCUGGUGCUGGUGUGCUUUCUGGCUAUGACCAGCUUCAGAUCCUCUUCUUCGGGAAGAAGUACGGCUCGGGCGGUGCUUAAAUGAAGAAAAAUGAUGACGAACAAGAGCAGUUUGUUCCCGGUCCUGCCCAAUCAGGAUCUGGUGAAGUUUUUGCCUUUCAUAUCCAAAAGUAAUAAUUCAUGUAGAGGGAGGAUUCUUCCAACAUUCGUUUUGGGUGGAGGCUUCGAUCUCCAAACAGUAUCUUAACUAUCCUAGACGGUGGCAUCGGUCCCCGGAAACAUUUGUCGUCAUAGGUUGAGUCGAGUCUGCCCAACUUUUAUCAGUCGGGCAAUUUUCCUUCAUACAUUAUUACCUUCGAUCAAGUAUCGGAUGAGAGUCAAGUUGCUGCGGUUAAUUGUUUUCUUACAUGUUGCCAUGCUUUAUGUCAUCAAUGAUCUGGUUGAGCUCAUUUGUCUUAUUUGUUUCGUCUCAUAUGAAAGCUUCAUGUGGUGCUUUCCCAUGUUCUGAUUUGGUUAAUUUGGACCUGCAUUUGAAGAUACCUAGUGCAGCAUAGUAAGCUUGGGAAACUUUAGCUCAAACUUGUUCGUGCUGUAGAAGAAGCUCCAUAAUAAACACAUGAGAUGCGUCAAGAUCCUCCUUUUAGAUGCUCUACUCGUUUAACUUAUGAUGUACAUUGCUAUUCUAGCUAUUUUCUAGAGAGAAGCGGGAUCCAAGAUCAAACCUUGCUAUUCUAGCUGUUACCUAGAGAGGAAGUGAGGAACUGAAUCUUAGAUCAAACCCGAGGAUUAAGAAAUAGGAGUUUGGAACCAGAUGUAAAGCGGUCUACUGCAGCAGAGGCAACAAAAAACUUUCCAGUUUCUCUGUGAUCCUGAGUUCUUAUAUAGAACACAAAACAGCACAAAGUUGUAGCAUUCCUUGUAGUAAACGGGACCAUUUUGCCUACAAAUCUACAACCUAAACAUUCAAGAAACUGAGACUUCGGAGUGUUUAUGGACCGAACCAAUGCCUAGAGUGUUUAAGGACCGAACCAAUGCCGUGAUGCACAAAUGUGAAGGUGAGUAUAAUUUCAUGCCUUUUAACUUACAAAUGAAGAGCCAUGUUGAAUUGGAAACUAAGGAGCCAAUAGUUUUCACCGUAAAUCUAACACUGAAUUAUCAGUUUCUGCAGCAAUACUAGCAGCAAACCAUAUCUGAGGAAUUCAGGAGCCCAUACAAACAAAGGCAGACAAGUAGCUGCAUAAAAAGUUUCAAACAAGCAUGCAUCUUGGGAAUUCAUAUAUAAAACUAUGCUGUACGAGAUGGCAACCAUCCUCUUCUGUGGCUCCUGAACAAGAAACCGAACAGAAAUAUAGUUUCAUUUCGUUAUUAUAGUGAAACCAUAAGUUGGGACAGUAACGAAACCAGUGGACAUGUAACCAAAAUGACAAUGAGCCAGCCAGCCUUUAUCACUUAAUCAAUCGUAUACAUACUAAUACUACUUAUCAGCAAUACAUCAGCCAAAUCUAAACAUUCUCUGAUUAUCAAAUAAGUUAGUGCAUGAGAACUAGACUGGGAGGGAAUCCUUCAUCCAAGCAAGCUGCAGAGGAACCAGUAAGCUGUGUUAAGCAGGAAGAAGACAAGCAGCCAAGAGAUCUUCUGAAUGCGGUGAUGUAACCAAGGUAGCAGCUUAAUCACAGCAUGAUUUUAAUCAGAACAGUAUAAGUCCAAUCUGAAGGGAGCAUGACUUAACAUGAAAACAUAGCAGAUGUCAGCUUGGGAGACAGAAUGGGCACUCAACAUCUCUGUUUAAAGUUCUCUCUGUUAGAUUUCAGGAGGAAGUUGCCCAGCACAUGCAGCGGCAUAAUGAACUGGCAGCAUUGGAACAAUUUCCUUGUAACGUUCAAUGAACCUUACAGCAAAUUUCUGCUCAGUUGAACAAACCACAUUGUAGAAGUCAAUAUCAUCUUUUACCAGUCCUUUCGCCCUCAGAACCUUUAGGACAUAAUGCCGGGGCAUCAUCCGCCUCUCCAUGCUAUGACUCAACACUGCUGGCCUAUGCACAAUGUACUUGGCCUCCAGACCAACCUCCAUCUUCAGGAACGCCACUGUACGGGUCAGAUUGACCUCUGAUAAUUUUAGAGUGGUAGGCAUCUUGCCAACUGCAAUGCGGAGCUCAGUCUCAGAGCAUCCAAGAGCUUUCAUCAAGAAAUCCAACUUUGCGCCGACUCUCUGAGGGUUGAUGCUGUAGGUGGUUGCUAAGGCGAACUUGAACAUGGCUGAGUUACACGGCACGCCAAGCUUCUUGUGAGCACACUCCACAAUUCCCUUGAUACCCUCUGGCUUCAACAUGAACAUCCUAGGGACGAGUAAGAAGAGCUUGGCAAUACCAUCAUUAGUUAAGCCGCAUUUCAGCAGAAAAGCAAUGUUGGGCUUGACCUCACGCUCGACAUUAUGACCCAGGAGGUGUGGGUUCAUCUUGAGUACUGGGUGCACCUUGUCGUAUGAGCCCAGCAAAGAGAUGUAGAAUGCAAGACGGGGGAUCCUGAUGUGACUCUGCAAGGCAUUGGGCGCGACGGCGAUAAAGCGGGAGAUCUGCGUACGGGAGAGGCCGAUGUCACGGAGCUGGGCGAGUCGGGGGGUUAGGGUUUUGUCCACCCUAGCGCAGAGGAUCCGUGGGUCCCUGGAGAUUGCAGCGGCGAUGUCGGCUUUGGCGAGGCCGAUGUCGGCGAAGAAAGCGAGGACGGCCUCUGGGUUGGAUGGGGAUUUGAGGUGGACGAGGUACCUGGAGGAUCUGAGGGCUUGCACCGGCGUAAGGCCGCAGGUGGUGAUGAGGAAUUCCUCGGGAACAAAGUGAGCGUGGGGUGCGGUGGCGGUGGAGAGGUGGAGGAGGCGGUUGAGCAAGGAAUCGGGAGGGAGAGGAGAGGCCGCGCGGCCAGCGGAGAGGAGGUGGCUUCGGAGGCGCAGCAUCGCAGCUCCGGCGACAGCGGCGCGCGUGUGCUGACGCUUACAGUCAAGACCCGGCUAUUCUCGGUUGGGGUUUCCUUAGUGGGCCGGUCGAGUUGAGUUCAUGGCUGCGCCGACUGGGUGGGCUUGAUGGGGUGGCCCAUGGGGGUGUCAUCGGCGCCGGAGCCACUAGGCCCAGCUUCACAAUCGGAUCCUGAUUCACCCGGCCCAUAUAAGGAGUUGGGUCGCGAACAUUAUGAACGGGGUAACCUUUGCCGUGCAUCAAGCCAUCAACAACGGCGCAGGGCCAGCCAUACAAUUUCGGCCUAUCUCUAGCUAAUCUUUACCUAUUAUUAAAGCAAGUAAUGCCUGUGCCUGGAUUGUCGUCCGUCGUGGUCAUUUUGCAAAAAACCCCCUGACGUUUCGUGAAAUCAACCCGCAUUCCACUUUUGAAGAGACGGGGGGCUCGGUUGCUAAAAAGUGCAAAGGGAGGGUGUUAAAGGUGAAACGAGUAACGUCUCUGCCACAUUUUCGUCCGCCAUCCUAUUUUUCAGAAAAGCCCCUGAAGUUUUUAGAAAUCAACCCGCAGUCCAUAUUGUAAAGAGAAAGGGGUUCGGGUGAUAAAAGGAGAGAAGAGGGGGAGGUUCCUCGAAAUAGUGCCAGCAUCAGUCCCCACCCGCUUACUGCGUCAGCCACCAAGAAAUCGCUAGGUGCACCCGGUAAGUGCACACGUCUUUUUACCUAGAGCCCUUCCCUUGUCCCAAAAAUUCCUCAAAAAUUCUCAAAAAUACUAAAUAAUAUCCUAUGCCUGUCCAUGCCUUUCUUUUCUAUUUUUCAUCUCAUAUGAGCUCUAUUUUUCUGUAUCACUGGAGCAACGUGUGAGCGUGUCCAUAUCCAACCGCGCGGAGACCGCACACGCAACAAACUGCCGGAGCAACGCGAUAAAAAUGUUACGCAACAUGAUAAAAAAUAUGGUGCGCUAUAUGACACGAUAAAAAACAUUGUGCGCUAAGUAACGUCGUUUCGCCGUAGCAACGCACGGGCAUCUUGCUAGUAUUAUAUACAGGUGAAGAUAAAAGAUUUCAAAAACUGCAAGUUGAUUAUAAAAAAUUUAAGGGAUUUUUUUGCAAAGCUACCGGAUAAUAAAGUGCGGAAGUAAUUCUUCGUGCGAUCUGCCUAAAUUUUGGUUUUUCGUCCGUCGACGUAGAGUCCCGGUGUAAUACCGUUUCCUACACGUGUGGCGGUAAUUGAAAGUGAAAUUGGAACUGGAACCGGAACCAAAUUCUUAUUGGCUGCAAUAUAAAAAUCAAUCUAACCCAACCCUACAACUACGGACAAGAAGAAGCUUGAAAAGAACCACAUGUACGCCAGUGGGAGGCCGAUGUCCCGGGCAAUGGCGGGCUCAUCAUCGAUAUGCGCUCCGAGGUUGCCGAGCCCGUUCCCGAUUCCACCGCACGGCACCCGAGUCAUGGUGUGGCGGAUCCACUUCGGAUUUGCUUGAUUAGACAUGAUUAAACCGCCUGAUACGUGACGCUCAUGCCUUAACCAAGUAAACACGAAGUGCCGUCGGAUUUCAUCCGAUUUAACCACUUGAACAGGACCGAAUAGCAAACCCACACGAAGGUGAGCGGUUCCAGAGAAUACAACAGGUCCACUGAGUUAACAAAAUAACCAUUUAGUUUGGUCAUAAACAACAUCAGAGUUUACAAGGUUCAGAAGAAAAUAACAGAAGAUAAAACAACACGCGGAAGCUACUUCGUCGGGGUCGGAUAUCCCUGGUGAGGCCAACCGGGACAUCAGUGAUCCCUCUCUUCGCCGUCCAAGGAGGGAUCUCACUCAACCGUCCAACCCGGAGGGAGUUGGGACGGCCAAGUGCCAGCAGAGGGAGGCUCAGAUGCAGCAACUUCACCUAAAAAAGAAGAGCCACAACAAGGCUGAGCUACUAAGCUCAACAGGACUUAACCGACACGGAGUACGCUACUCCACCACUUCUAGACAUGCACGGCUUUUUGGCUGAGGGGUUUGUUUGCCAAAACCGUUAGUUGUAUCCCUACUUUCAAGUUUUAGCUCAGGUUCUAAGUUUACUAUCUGGUCUAAGUUUGCAACCUACUUCUAAACAAACAUAGAACCAACCAAAGGUAUAUACAUCAUCAUCAAGACCAUGUCAUCAUCAGAUUCCUUUAUUACUCAGGGUGACAUAGCGAUCAAGCAAUCUCAAACUGUGAGAGGCAGAUGAAUCGAUUCGAGUUUCUUAACCAUGCAUGGCGAACCUAAUCUCACGACAUCCGCGCACCGCAAGGGUCGCUUCCUGUGUCGGCCGUCCCCAUCAAUUUCCAGGCGCGUGUCAGGUCCAAACUUCCCUUGGCAUGCAAUGCUCCACAGUCCCGGUCUCUACCGUACUGUGACUGCACUUGAACCCACAUGAUGCACCAUGGGAACCUCGUUCCAGGGAUAGCAGGGGUAUAAGUCAUGCCCUAGUUCAAUCAGGUACUAGGCUUUCCUAUCCCAUACUAGGUAUGAGAUUAGUACUUUCAAACACUUGAUCACGAACACCACCACUGUCGGGCCUUAGCAAGUUUUAUAGACAGAUGGGGCGAUCAACCGACCACCAAAGAGUUACCCAAAACCUUGCCCCGUCCAUCGUCCUUAUAGUCGUAAUAGAAGAGGAACAACCAACUCCUACAACUCGCGAAGCAUCUACUCGGUCCAACAGCUAGUGUUCAGAUCAAGGGAGCUAAGUUGUGCAUCUAUGGUUCCAAACAACUCCUAUACGUAAAUGCACAAGCAUGUUAAAGAAGGCAUGCGCAAGUUUGGUAAAACACAGGGGAUUCAUGCAUCCGAGGCUUGCCUUCGAGCAAGGAGGAGGGAAACUGUUCGUCUGCUUGGUCGGCUUCGGCUUCUGGAGGCAGGAGCUCGACUACACCUUCGUCUUCUGGCGCCGGGUGCAGCUCGUAGAAGCCGUCGGCGAGGCGCAGCUCUACACGAAUGCAAUGCAUUGGUUAGCGUUUAGAUGGUUAUUUCAACAGCAACACUUGCAAGUUUGAGCCCAGAAACUUGCGGCAAGUUACAGGAGGGUGGGGAGGUUCGAUUGAGUUGGUGGAGAUCAAGAUAUAAGGGUCGGAUGGGAAGGAACUUAUGAUCUGACCCUUAAUCUAGAGGAAUAGGUGCUAGGGGUCCUCAAACUUAACGCUGAAAAGUCCCCAAGUUUACACAUACACCCUCGGUUCAAGGAAAAAGAUACAGCCGAGCCCUCGGGCGAGGCGGAAAAAGUUCGGCGGGACAGACAGGGUCGGGCGAGACGGAACCGGGGUCGGGCGGAUAGGAGGGGUCGGACGAGGCGAACAAGGGUCGGUAGCUUACCUUCGUCUUACAGAUGAGGCUUGGGGUUGGGAAAGAACAGGCUUGGGCGGAAAGACUAAGGCUUGGAACAGCGGCGAGGAUGUCCGGUGGUACUCCGACGGCGGCGGUGCUUCUUGUGGAUCACAAGCAAGCUCUUGUGCAGCACGGGGAGCAGAGGCUGGUGGAUUGGGGGAAGGUGGUGUUUGAGCGGAGAGGAGAGUUCCUCAGACUUAGGCGGUGGCGCUGUGAGCACGAACAGGGAGCAAACGGGAGGGCAGCGAUGGCAAGGGGAACUCCGGCGGGGCUCCGGCAUUCCCUUUUUAUAGCUGCGCGGAAGAGAGAAGGGGGAGCGGCGCGAAGGCCGGGGAAGAGCGAUGGAGUGCUCUGCCGGGGCGGCGAUUGAGCGAUGAGGGUGGUGGAGCAGGACUUUGGGGAUGACAUCGGCGGUCAUUGGGCACCGAUGUCAGGGCGGCGCAGGCGCGGGUUUGCCGGUGGUUGAGAUUUGGCGGAGGUGGGCGUCGUCGUGCGGUGGAUCUGAUGGAAGUGACCGGGGAAACGGCGCUAGAAACGAGGGCGCACAGGUGAGAAGACAGGCGGCUGCGGGCGCGCGGGCGAGCGUGGAGCAAUAGAUUGUCGGGCGGAGCUUCUGACAAGGCGGAAAAGGAGCUGUCGCUGCCGCGGUCUAGGUUGGCGGAGGAGGAAUCGUCGCGUAGCGAGGACCGAGGCGGCGCGACUGUGGAGAGGUGACGGAAAAGAUGGGCAGCAUCGGGCUCUGCAGUCGGGAUCUGGCGAUGUGAUGAUGGGCGCGGGCGGCGAGGUGCUGCAGAAAGGGUAGCAGAGGAGCUUCCGCCGCGAUUGGGGAAGGGAGCGCGAGAAUCCAUCCGGUCGUGGCCGGAGCAGCGGACGUCGGAGGAGUUGAGUCACGCGGCUAGGGAACUCUGAAGUGGGCAUGCAACUCGAGUGCGCCUGUCGUGGGAGAUCUGGGAGAAAGAUCUCGUGGGUCCACCGGUCAGUCUCGGUGGUCCACGGCUCAAAUUGAAGGGCGGCAUUAUGGGAAGACUUAGAAAGAUCCGAUGGUGGGUUGGGGGUCUGCGGGGUUGGAACUGGGGAGGACACGGCGAGGAGUCGGAUCACAGGGGGUCGGGAGAUCUGGAGGUUGAGCACUUAGGCUUGGUAAACUGAGACAGGUGUGGCGGAUCCACUUCGGAUUUGCUUGGUUAAACAUGAUUUAGCCGCCUGAUAUGCGACGCUCAUGCCUAAGCCGAGUUAACACGAAGUGCCGUCGGAUUUUCCUCCGAUUUAACCACUUGAACAGGACCUUUUUAGCAGACUCACACGAAGGUGAGCGGUUCCAGAGAGUACAACAAGUCCACCGAGUUAACCACUUAACCAUUGGAUUUAGUUGCGAAAAACAUCAGAGUUUUACAAGAUUUCAGAAAACAACAGAAGGUAAAACACUAGCGGAAGCAAUCGUCGGGGUCGGACGUCCUGGUGAGGCCAGACGGGACAUCAUUGAUCCCUCUCCUCGCCGUCCGAGAAGGGAUCCCACUCGACCGUCCAACCCGGAGGGAGCUGGCGGCCAAGUGCCAGCAAGAGAGGGGUCGGGGGCAGCAACUUCACCUGAAAAACAGGAGCCACAACAAGGCUGAGCUACUAAGCUCAACAAGACUUAACCGACAGGAGUAAAACUACUCCACCAUCUAGACAUGCAGGGCUUUUUGGCUGAGAGGUUUGUUUGCCAAAAGCACUGAGUAAACCCUACUUUCAAGUUUUAGCUCCGAUUCUAAGUUCUUUAACUAGUAUAGGUUUUGCAACCUAUUCUAAGCAAUCAUAGAGCCAAACAAGGUAUGUGUAUCAACAAAUCCAUGUCAUCAUCAGAUUCCUUAUUUACUCAGGGUGACAUAGCGAUCAAGCAAUCUCAAACUGUGAGAGGCAGACGAAUCGAUUCGAGUUCUUUAACCAUGCAUGGUGAACCUAGCCUCACGACAUCCGCGCACCCGGAGGUCGCUUCCUGUGUCGGCCUUCCCCAUCAAUCCCCUAACCCGUGUCGGGCCUAUUUCCUUUGGUGCAAGGUUCCACAGACCCGGCCUCUGCCGUUCUGUGACCAUGCAUGCCACCACGUGCGACAUCCAGCAAGGGAAACUCCGUUCCAAGAACAAUGGGGCGACCGCUCACGUCUAGGUUCAAUCCGGUACUAGGCUUCCUCAUCCCAUACUAAGUAUGAGGCUAGUACUUUCAAACACUUGAUCACGAACACCACCACUGUCGGGCCUUAACAAGUUUCAUAGAUAGACGGGGCGAUCAACCGACCACCAAAGAGUUACCCAAACCCUGCCCCGUCCAUCGUCCUUAUAGUUAUAACAGAAGGGUAGACAUCCAACUCCUACAACUCGCGAGUGAUAGGGAAUCACUCGGCUUUUACCGUCUCCUAGUUAAGCAAGGCAACUACUCGGUCCAACAGCUAGUGUUCAGAUCAUAGGAAACUAGGUCAUGCAUCUAGGGUUUCAAACAAUUCCUAUACGUAAGUGCACAAGCGUGUUACAGAAGGCAUGCACAAGUUUGGAAAAUAACGCAGGGUUUUCAUGCAACCGAGACUUGCCUUCAAGCAAGGAGGAAGAGAACUGCUCGACUUCGGGGGCGACUUCGGCUUCUGGGGGCAGGAGCUCAGCUACAGCUUUGUCUUCUGGCGCCGGGUGCAACUCGUAGAAGCCGUCGGCGAGGCGCAGCUCUACACGAAUGCAAUGCAAGAGUUAGCUUAGACGGUUAUUUCCACAGCAACACUUGCUCGCCUGAGCCCAGAAACUCGCGACAAAGAGCAGGAGGGUGGGGAGGUUCAAAGGAGUUGGUGGAGAUCAAGAGGUGAGGGUUGGAAAGGAACUUAUGAUCUGGUCCUUCAACUAGAGGGUUUGGUAUGCUAGGGAUCCUCAGACUCAAGCGCUGAAAGGUUUCCCAAGUUUUACACAUACACCCUCGGUUGAAGAAAAAAAUCACAGCCGAGCCCUCGGGCGAGGCGGAUAAGGGUCGGUCGGAACAGAUAGGGUCGGGCGAGACGGAACCGGGGGAGGGCGGAUAAGUGGGGUCGGGCGAAGCGGACUGGGGUCGGCAGCUUACCUUCUUCCUACAAGGAAAGCUUGGGGUCGGGAAGAAGCAGACUUGGGCGGAGGGACUAAGGCUUUGAACAACGGCUAAGACCGGCAGUGCUCCGGCGGCGGCGGUGCUUCUUGUGGAUCACAAGUGAGCUUUUACGCAGCACUGAGGAGCAAGCGGCUGGGUGGCUUAGGGAAAACGGAGGGGAGCUGAGAGGAGAGUUCCUCAAGAACUUUAAGGUGUGGUGCUAGGAGCUUGAGCAGGGAGCAAGAGAUGUGGCGGAAGGCAACAAUGGCGGAGGGAACUCCGGCGGGCUUGCGCAUUCCCUUUUAUAGCUGCUGGGAUAGGGAAGGGAGCGGCGCGGGAGAGAGAGAAGGGGAGUGGCGCGAAGGCCGGGGAAGAAGCAAUGGAGUGCUCUGCUUGGACGGCGAUUGAGCGACGGGGGCGGUGGUGCAGGACUUCGGAGAUGACGCCAGCGGUCAUUGGGUUCUGGCGUCAGGGUGGCGCAGGAGCGGGUAUGCCGGUGGUUGAGAUUUGGCGGAGGCGGGCGUCGCCGUGCGGAAGAUUUGAUGGACGCGACCGGGUUAACGGCGCUAGAAUCGAGGAUGCACAGGUGAAAAGACAUGCAGCCGCGGGCGCGCGGGCGAGCGCGGAGCAACAGAUUGUCGGGCGGCUUCUGACAGGGCGGGGGAAAGGAGCUGUCGCUGCCGUAGUCGGGGUUGGCGAAGGAGGAAUCGUCGGGUAGCGAAGACCAGGCGGCGUGACUGUGUCCGAAGUGACGGAAAAGAUGGGCGACAUUGGGCUCUGCGGCCGGGAUCUGGCGGUGUGAUGAUGGGCGCGGGAGGCGAGGCGCGACAGAAAGGUUGCAGAGGGGCUUCCGCUGCCAUUAGGGAAGGGGGCGCGAGAAUCCAUUCGGUCGCGAGCUAGAGACAAAACUGAGCGGCGGGCGUCGGAGAAGAUGAGCCACGCGGCGGGGAGACUCUGAAGCGGGCAUGCAACUCGAAUGCGCCUGCCGCGGAAGAUCUGGGGGGAAAAAGAUCUCGCGGGUCCACCGGUCAGACAGAACGGACGUUUGGGAAAGACUUAGAAGGAUCUGACGGUGAGCUGGGUUUGGCGGGGUCGGGAUCGGAGCGAAGCGGGGAGGGAUCGGGUCUCAAGGGUCGGGACCGAUCGGAAGAUUGAACUUUCAGGCGCGGCAAACGAGACAGAUGACUAUGAACAAGGGCUAGGAUAGGAUUAACCUGGAAAGAUUAGGGGGCCGGUCGUCACAACAGGGGAUCAGGGACUCGGAUUAAGAUUAACGCGAAGGAUUUUUAACCGAGGUCGUCACACAUUGGCCUGUUCGCUUCAGUUUAUAAGCCGGCUGAAAAGUUGAAAUAGGUGAUUUGUUGUGAGAGAAAAAUACUGUUUGGUGGCUGAUAAGCCGGCUGAAUAAGCUGAAGCGAACAGGCCAAUUAGAGGAUUAUCCGGCGAGUUGAUGGCCAACCUUCUGCACUCUCUGUGCUUUAUACAUGGAGAUCAAAGCGGAUGUCCUCUGUCGUCUACCGCUGUGCAGGUUCUUCAUCACCUCACACGGUGCGUCUGCAAAUCGCGGCAGGGUCUCAUGGACGCGCCAGCUGCAGCUUCCGCACGCCAGCCUCUUCGUUAACUACCUCGAGCACGAGAGGCUGCACUUCUUCGUCGCCCGCUAAUCGAGCACGGCGACACGCAGAGUCGCAGAUCAAGCACGGCCUUCUCUGGGUGGACUGAGGCAAGAGUGCAGUCGGAUGAGGAAUUGAAGCGGAGCUCCCCGAAGCUCGGCGAGGAACUGCGGGCGAGCCGCCUGGUGGGUGAGCGAGCUGCAUGCAAGCCGAGGAGGCAGCGACGGAAACAAUGGGGAUCAACCUACGGCCAACUGUGCCUCUAAUCAAGCCAACGUGUUAGAGAGUUUUGUAGCAAGAAUAGUUCAAAUGGAUUUACCAGGACUCCAUGAGUGCAUGACAAUCUAGAGAGAAAGGAGAGGGCUCGGUUUCACCAUUAAUGGAGGAAUCUGGCCAGCAGAGCUGUUGCCCAGCUACUUGCUCCUCUCUGUUUUAGCGGUGGUCGGGGGAUACACCGAGAUAGAGGAGGGGGCAGCUCAGCCAGACGGAAACAGAAAAAUACACACACACACACACACACAGAGAGAGAGAGAGAGAGAGAGCGCUGCAGGUGAAAGGAAAAGGUACAGCACGGCCACGCGACGCCACGACCCACGCGUCCAACUGCUGGUAUGUGGGGAGGGGCAGAGAGAGAGAAAGGGAGGUGAUGUGUCUACCGGGGUCUUAUGUGAUUCAAUUUCCAAUUCACUUUUCUAUUUUAAUUAGCUAUAAAUGGCAUUAAAAUUCUCUAGCUAUUUUCACCAUCUGUACAAAAGUUAAAGUUAUAGGUUCUGAAAUAUUCAAAUUAAAUCUAAACAACACUGUGGUUAUUCAACCGUACAGUACAAUGACCACAGUUAGAUUACUUACGGGGACGGAAGGAAUUACUUAAUCAAAUCAAAAUUUUACUUUACAAAAGUGUACCGAUCAUAUAAUAUUAAAAAGAUUAAAAUGAGGAGGUACCCUCAGAAAAGCUAAAGUAUAUCCGUCCUAAUGCUAUCCUUCAAACCAAACACAAAACAUGAUUCUUCCAUACUUUUAUCCCUCCAAUAGAACUAUGAUCAUCCCAUCCCAUCCCAAAAAUAAAGAAAAGUCUUCUCGAACCAAAUACAUGCUAAAAGAAUUUGUUUUUGCCGUGAUGAGGCAUGGCCAUUGUGCUAUACCCUAUAUAAUUCACUAAUAUUUUAUUCUCACACAACUUUGAUAAUAUUUUCUGGGUCCAGCCAAUUUAUGAAUGUAGGAACCUUUUUAUACAAAAUGAAGCGCUUAGAUUUCGUCCUUAACUCAAAGCUGAUUAAUCCCUACGGUAAAAGAGAGCAACAUUUUUAUUAUCUUCGUCCAUGCACGAAACCACGAAAAAUAAGGAGAAAACUGGAAAUGUCGCACAAUGAGAUUACAUAAUAAAUAACAUUUUUAAAAUCAUGCUUAAAACCAUAGUGUGAUACACAUAUGCUCUUUACCCGUAGCAACGCAUGGGCAUAUUUUGUAGUAUGUUACAAAGUCACUCUAAAAAAAUCUAUACAAAAAAUUUCCAUCACCCUUCUUUUUUAAAAACAUUUUUCCGAAAGGGAGGCUAUAUUAACGCAGCAAGGCCAUGGGCGUUGCAAUGACCACAAAUAGUUGCCAUUGCCGUUCCCAAACUUCAUCCGUUGCCUGUGAGACUGUGAAGCUGCUUUCCAAUAUCAAAGCUUCCAUGCACUCUGGACCCCAAUGGAGCGGAAAAUUCGGCGCAGCAGUUGGCCGUGUUGACGAUGCUGAGCCGCGGUACGAGCCACCGAGACGAGUUGGCGUCAGGUGCGCCAUUGAUUCGAGCGUUAGAGCCAGGCUAAUAAUUUAGCCUGCGGCUGGCUAAAUGCAAGUGCCAUGUCAUAUAUAGCUGGUAAUAUAGCUAGCUCAUAUAUAGUGUGUUUGGUUACAUGGUUUAGAUCUAGCUUGAUUAAGAUCUAGCCUGGCUCAGCUAGUACGUCCGAUUCGGUCGUACUAGUGUAGCCUGGCUUAGGUGCUUUUUUUGCAUUGCGCUGGCCUGGCUAUGUACUCUGGACAGGCAAUCAAACAAUCACAAGCUGUAUUAACUUAGCCAGGCAACCAAACACAACCUAACUUGGCUUGGCGACUAUAAUAAAGAUGCAAGUCUUCAAUGCUUGCUGUUCAUACCAUCUGUUGUUGUGGCUUAUAUCUUUGUAGCCAUUUAUCAAACAACAUGAUAAGUAUCCCAUACAAUAUAAUCUCAUUCAUUCGUUUUUAAACAGCAUAGUUUAUUUAAUAUCUAGAUAACAGGCAUACAAUAUUGGACACUUUGAUUUGUGCUCUGAAAAAUAAGGAAGCACCACAUAAUAAGCAACAUUCUUUAUCUUAGUACAUCAUACCAAGUAUCUAAAACAUGUAUCUAAGUACACCUCAAAUUCGUAUAAACAAGUAGAAUAGACUGGAAUUGUAUAAAGUGUAAAGCUUCAUCGAGACAGAGAAUAGACUGGAAUCAUAUAAAGUACGCUGCUUGACAGGGAUAAGAUUCUAUAAUCACAAACAAUUGCUCUGAGCUAAACAUUGUGGUAGUUAACAAGACACUGCUUUGAGCAAAUAGUAGAUGAUGUUGCCAAUACACGGAACAAGAGGCCGUUGCUACAUAACGAUUAAGAGAUGCAGGUCAUACUUGCAUCCGAAGAUUCAGAGAUGCAGCCUUCAUCCAUACAAACUAGAGAGAGGCAGUACAUGAUUGUCCAACGGUAGAACGGAAUGAGCCCUUCAUCAUCUACGAAAAAACUACAGAGACGCAGUACAGAUGGCCGGCGGCAGUGGCGCUGUCGAGUGUCGACCCGUCAUGCGGAGGCUCUGGCGACGGUUGGGGACGAUUUGGGCAUGAAGAUGGGGAUUUAUGCUUUGCUCAUCGGUUCAAUCUGGCGCACGAGAAAUAGCUUUGGCGUGCAAGGAAGGCGGGGUGGAGCACUGGAUCGGGAGGGAGGAAGGCGGGCCAGCAAGCGCCGGCCUUGUCGCCUGCACGGGGCUGGAAGCAUGCGCUUUUCUCUCGGGAGAUGAGUUUCAGCCGGGCGACUCGCCAUCCGCCCGGUUCAUUCUCUAUCCUCUCCUCGCCUGUCCCUCUCUUCCACCUAGGAUUUUAAUGACGUGGAACAUCUUGCAGCCUCUUACGUACUCCCUCCAUCCCUAAAUAACUGUCGUUUUCGCUUCCCGAGAAACAACUUUAACUAAAUACAUAUAAAAAUAUUAAUAUUUAUGAUACAAAUUUAAUAUCAAUAGACAGAUAUUUGAAUCUAAUUUUUUAAUAAAUUUAUUUGAAGAUACAAAUAGUGCACGUAUUUUCUACAAAUUCAGUUAAAAUUAUGAUAUGGAAAUAAAAAAUAACAGUUAUUUAGGUGCGGAGGAAGUACGCCGCAUCGGAUGGCCUUGACGCCGCGGCGGGGAGCUGCUCCAGAUCCAUGAUUGGAGCGUGAUGGGCGGCACGGGCCAUAGUAUCGGACAAUACCCCGGUCCUCGGACAAAGCUGCCCGCGCGGACAGGGAAAGGCACCGGCCAGAUCUUUACCUGCCGGAUGAAUGUCCCGGCAGGCAGGAUGAAAACUUCGGCCAGAUCAAUCACGCCGUACUACAUGGAAGUUUCUACCGUCACUGUACUGUCAAACCUACGAUUUACCGAGACACUGUCACCGUACACUUGGAUUGGGAUUCUCCCAUCUCGUUGUGCAUGGUAGAAACUUUCAAAACCGCCAACGAUCUCAUUGCAUCGAGUCAUCGUCUCAUCGACUCGGGAAUUAAAACUCCUAACCAACGCCACCACGGCUGUACAACCUGUAGAGAGGUUGCAUCGCAGGCUUGCAGCGCGGCGGAGGUCGUGCCCGUCACGUUGUCACCACUCCGUCGCCUCUUCCUCGCGGCGGAGCGAAUUAAAGGCCCUUAUCCUCUCUGCCGCUGGCGCUCGCUGCCACCGAUCGUUGGAUCCAACCAUCUCCCCCCUCGCCGCCCGCCCGCCCGCCCGCGCCCUUUGUCUUGGAGCCUUGCGCCGCGGUCCUUUCCCCCUGUCCGAAUCCGCCUCGACGUGUCCGCCUCCUCCCUCCCUUCCCUCCCUUCCCUCCUCGUGCGCUCGCCUUUUGGUGCGCUCUUGGUAUCUGUGCUCUUCCUCCCGUGCCCCUCGUCCUCCUCGUCUCUGCCACGCUUCCUUAUUCUUGUCUUGCUUGCUACCCCGGCCGCACUCUUCUUCUCUCGGCUGACGCCGCCAUUGCGCGCGAGAGCUGUGCGCGGCGGAGCGUGACGAUGUCGUCAGCGGUGGAGGCCAUCUCCUGCUCCAAGGUCGACGUCCCCGCGGCGCCGGAGCCGGAGGCGGCGGCGGCGGCGGUCAAGAAUGCAGCGGCGCCAUCGGAGAACGGCGAUGCGGCGAACGGCAAGUGUGGCGAGGCGACGCCGCAUUGCCACGACGACGAGGAGGAGGAGGAGGAGGCCCCCAAGGUCAUCGACCUCGGCCCCCGGGUCAGCAUCAAGGACCAGCUCGAGAAGGACAAGGUACGUGGGCUCGCUGCCAUUGCUGCUAAAAAUACGUCCCCAUCUCGAUCCAUGUCUAUGAUCUUGCUCUUCUUUCGGUUACGAGUAGCUUCAGUUUCAGUGCGUUUCUUCAUUUCAUUUCUUGGCCGCGUUCGAUUCACAGGACGACGAGAGCCUGCGGCGAUGGAAGGAGCAGCUCCUCGGCAGCGUGGAUUUGAACUCCGUGGGAGGUAAACUAAACUCACGGCAACAGGACACUAAAUUUUCCUGCCGAAUUGCUGGUCGCGUGCGUUCGAUUGGCUCGCGCGCGUCCUCGCGGCCUAGUUUAAUGGCGCCAGUGGGGUGGGGCAACGGCACAUGCCGCAGCUCCGCAUGUGAGAGAGCACCGCCAUGGCUGCCGAGAUGGUCCCGUGACCGUGAGGCCGUGAGCCAUUCGUUUGUUUCCCACCCCGUGCCUAACCCCGUUUCCUCCCUCGCUAAUGCGCCACCGGCCACACCCCGUACCGUACGGUGAGGUCCGUGUUGCGUUUUGCCGUAGGAAAUAAAGACGCAGGGGUGAAGGUCGGUGGCCUGUGGUGGGCUCGGUUGACGGUUAGAUACGUCGGCUGGCCGGCCGGCCGGCCACCGGCUUCCCUGCCUUUUCAUGCCGACCAGUUGAAGGAGAGGAGCACUAGUUUUUCUUGAAUGCAUGGUUAUAUGGUCUUCUUCUGCAAUGUCCAGGACUGUAGUAGUAGAACUAGAGCAGGAUAUCAAUAUCAGCAGUCAGCACCUUCCAAUCCUGGAAAAUGGCAUGCUGGUUGUUGGGCUGCUAUAGUUGAAUGGUGCUGCUUUUGCUGCUUUUAAGGUCAGCGCAUUUUGCAGGGCAUUUUUCAAGGAGCCCUUGCUUUUAGUUUAGACUUUUUACUUUUUAGACGAACGCUAAACACAUUUUCAUGCGUCUCGUGUUUUUGUUUAAUGUUAAGCACCUUCUGAACAAUCCAUGUCCCAAGUCGAAGUAGCACAUUCGAAACUUUUUUCGGCCAUUUAAAUGGGAGAUGCAAGUAUCUCGAUCAAGUAGCACAUUCAAAAUUUUUGCUGCUUUUAAGAUGAGCGCAUUUUCUCAGGGCGUUGUUGAAGGAGACCCUUGCUUUUGGUUUAGACUUUUUAGACGGUGUUAUACACAUUUUCAUGCAUUUCGUAUUUUUGUUCAGUGUUAAGCACCUUCCCGGUUUCAGUAGUGUUGGACACAUUUUCAUGCCUUGCGUAUUCAGAAUAAGCCCUGCUCUCCAUUAGAAUACAGAAUUCAGAGCAAUUCAGGUUUGAAAUUCAAGUAGCACGUUCAGAACCUUUUCAGCCAUUUGAGUGGGAGAUGCAGUAAUUCCGAUCUCGAAGUGAAGUGAAAAUUAAUACCAUCUGAAUUUGAUGCCAUAAGCAGAUCUGAAUUUUGAACCUCCUGUACGUUUGCAGAGACGCUGGAGCCGGACGUGAAGAUCAUGAGCCUGUCGAUCCUGUCGCCCGGCCGUCCCGACAUCUUCCUGCCGCUACCGGUGGAGCCCAACGCCAAGGGCGUGUGGUUCACCCUCAAGGAAGGCUCCCCAUACCGCCUCAAGUUCACCUUCUCCGUCACCAACAACAUCGUCUCCGGCCUCCGCUACACCAACACCGUCUGGAAGACCGGCCUCAAAGGUGAGACACCAACCGCCGGGAUCACGCCAUUUCCGCGCACGACCACGUUCCGGUCAUCGCCCUUGAUCAAUGAUCACACAGCUCACGGUCUGCUGGUUGUUCGCAGUUGACAGGGCCAAGGAGAUGCUCGGCACGUUCAGCCCCCAGCUGGAGCCCUACACGUACGUGACGCCGGAGGACACCACCCCGUCGGGAAUGUUUGCCCGGGGCUCCUACUCCGCCAGGACCAAGGUAAAUUAAAUCACAUGACGAGGACGAGAUCAUUCGGUUAAUUCAGGGCAGGGGUGGUCAAUAGCAAGCGGUAACUUCAGGGUUCAGAAUGAAGGUUUAUGUGACAGACAUCUUUGUUUUUUUGGCAGUUCCUCGACGACGACCGGAAGUGCUACCUGGAGAUCAACUACACCUUCGACAUCCGCCGGGAGUGGCCGUCGACGAGCUGAUCACAGCAGCUAUCGGCGGCGGCGAGGCCGGCCUGCUCGAGUCCCUGCUUCAACGUUGCUGUGCCGGAGCAGACCACUCGUUUCGUUUGUGUUUUUGCUCUUCUGCUGGGUUCAACGGUUCAUCCUGUCCCUGGGUUUUUAUAUUCGUCAUGUGCGUGCGUGUGUGAAUAUCGUUUCCAUUUGUCAGUUGGCUGUUGUGUUGGUAACGUUGGCAGACGGGCACGGUGAGGUCGGUCCAUCGGUCUGUGCGUGCGUGGGCGUGUUGAACUUACGUCAGGGUCUGUCUCGUCUUCGAACUGCCUGUUGAGUUCAGAGCAAUGAAUUGAAGCUGCGUUCUACGUGAUGCACUCGUGACCUUGAUUUUGUUUUGUGAAUGCAGCUCGUCGAUUUUAUUGUUUCGGCAUCGACGCAUCGUUAUACUGGGGAUCGGGUAACUUGAUAACUUUUGAAACCCCUGGCAACAUGACAUCUCGAAGGCAGUAAUCAGUAGCUGUGGGCGUGCAGUUUUCAGCUCACUUUGUGUUCGGUCGUUCUAUUUUCUUUCAUCGAGUCAUGCCGUAAAAGCUCAGCAUCAUUUCCGCACCAUGACGAACGAAGCAUUAUUCAGUCAGUGCCGAAUCGAUCGACCAAUCUGGGAGUUUAAUCCUUGACACUAGAACCAGAGACCAGGUCAGAGGAUGCAGAUGCCUGGGAAAAAAGGUGCGGCCGUGGACCUUGGUUGUUGAGCUCGGCAUUGACGCUGGCGCUUGCCUGUUGCCAAUAUGGUCCAGAGGCAAAAAUCGGCCUCAUGCUAGGGCCCAGAGGGCCGAAUAAACAGGUCAAGGCAGGCUGACGAAAAGAGAAUGGUCUGAUCACGCAAGGGGCCAGGCCGACCAAUCCAAACCGGUCUAGUUUGGCCCAUCACGGGCCGGAACAGAGAGACUACAUGUGGUGAAUCUGUCUGCUGACCUUCCUUCCGUCGAGCCAACUCGAGCUAAGAAAAUAAAAGACGUCGCUUCACGUGAGCGGAGUAAAAAUCGUCACGCUACAAAAGACGUGUGGGCACGUUCACGCACGCCCGCGGCUCUCUCCACCUCGUCGGUCGCAUGUGCCAUGUGAGUAUGCGACCAGACGGAGCGAGCAGAGCAAACCCGGCACAUACUUUAUUCGGAGAGCUGAGAACUCCCGCUCCUUUUCCCUCCGAACUCGGCAAUUGGCACCUGCCGCCUUUCUCCUCUUGUUCUUGCCGUCGGACCACACGCGGUAAAGAGGCCCGGCGGCAGGAGCCCGAGCGAGAUCCACGCUCAAUAUACAAAGCCUAAGGAAUGUACUGGUGACCGACGCAGCUGUACGUGCCGUCGGUGCCGAUGCCGCUAUUUGGUUUUGGCCGGUUUAUAUAUAUGCUGCUUGGGCUCGUGGCUGCAAGCCUGGCGAUCUGGAACUUUCGGAGAAUGCGUUUAGCCGGGCGCUGGGACGUCAGCGCGAGACAAUUUUUGACAGGGGGAGCGCAAUUUGUCAGCUUGGCUGGCUGCGUACACGCCCGCCCAGGCCCGUGCGAUGGUCGCUUGUUUCCCGCCGUCUACUUUACGGUGAUCUCCCCAAGGCGUUUCCCUUUCACGUCCGACGCGUGAUGGGAGUAGGCGAGUUGUUCGAACGCCCAUGCACAGAAAUGUUACUGCAUUCUUUUGGCGUUUUCUCUUCAAUUCUUUUACUUGUUGGAACCGAAAAAUUGUAGUCACCGUUAGUCACAGGUUUUUCUCUGCAAUUCUAAAUAUUUGUGCCUCCCCAUUUCUGCUGCGGAAGAAGGAGGUGACGAGGCGUACGUGUGCCCACGAGCGGUCGAACGGGGCCACGCGCGUCGCUGUGAUGGGGCCAAGGGCGGCGGCGAGGGCACAGUCAGGAAGCCAUGUGUUGUCCAUGUACGCAGAGCUGGUUCGUUCCGACGCGAACAGUGUCGAAGUCGGAACGCGCCAAGGCAAGGCCGGUGACGCUUUCGGCAACACGAAUCGCAAGGGGACAAAGAACGCGGGGUCAGGCGGUGGCCCGCGCCGAAUUGUCGGUCCGAUCUGGUAUCUCGUGCUGGGAUCGGCGCUGGCCGGUGGUGCAUUCCCCGGGCUCCUGAAUUUCUGUCCGAACAACCUGUGCAUCACCGGUUACCGUGUUAUUACCAACAUUAAUCACGAACCGUUUCUCUGUUUGCAGUCUUGUAGAGUGACUUGUAACAAUGUGACAGAUUAUCUAAUUGCUCGUUGAUGGUAAUGGAAGUUGCUUUCUGUGUAGAGAAACUGAAAAUGUUUAAUCAGUUCAGCCCUGAAGAAAUCAGUAGGAAGGGGGAGGGAAAAAAAAAGCAGUUUCCUGGAUUUGUUUACCUUUUCCAAAACCCCGGAGGAAACCUAAUUCGGCGACAGGAAACGGAAUAAACAAACAGAAAGAGACCGGGCCCACCGCUGCCCCUUACCUCCUCUCCUCGUCUCCACCACUUUCCCUCUGCACCCCGGCCCCCACGAAAUCUGGAGACCUGGACGCCAUUGCUCGCUAGCCUUUUCCGUCGAGCGCAAGGAAACCGCGCGCCACCACGGGAGGGAGGGAUUGCCGUGACCAAUUCGAAAGGUAUCUCCUCGCCGCGCCGCGCCGCCCCGUCGGCGGGACACGCCGUCUCCUCGUUGCUUUUUUUCACCCAGGGGUUCCAUUCCAUCCGGGCCGUGAGUGGCCUCCCUGAUCUGGAUUCCUCUCGCAGCCGCUGCGGGCGCGGGCGGAGUCGGGCCGCGGAGGUGGGGAGAUGUCCGCCGGAUUCGUCGGGGUCGUCGUGUCCGACCCCUCGCUGCAGGGGCAGUUCACGCAGGUCGAGCUCCGAUCGCUCAAGGCCAAGGUGACGUCCGAAUCCGUCGAUUCUCCCCUCCGCGCUGGAAACCCGCUGUUGUAUUGCGUUUGGUUCGUCAGUUUUGGUCCCGGUUGGUUAUUUUUGUUUUUGCCGGUGUUGCAGUUCGUGUCUCUGAAGAGAGAUUCCGGCCAUGUCACCACGAAGAAUCUGCCGGGGCUGAUGAAGAAGCUGAGGGGGCUCAAUGAGGUGGUCUCCGAGGAGGAGAUCGCCGCCUUCCUGUCGGAGUCGUACCCCGACAGCGAUCAGGAGAUUGAGUUCGAGUCCUUCCUCCGGGUACAUGCAUCUCGGCGUUUCUCUGAGUUCUCUGAGUUAUUGAAUUGUAAUGCGGACAGGAAUGGUGCGGUAUUCCCGAUUUAUUCUGAUGGGAGUGGGGAACCUGGCUCUGUUUCUGCAGGAGUAUCUGAAUCUGCAGGCGAGGGUGAGUGCCAAGGUAGGUGGUGGUGCUGGUGGUGGGGGUGGCAAGACCUCAUCGUCGUUCCUCAAGUCCAGCACCACUACGCUGCUGCACAAUCUCAAUCAGGCAGAGAAAUCGUCCUACGUGGCGCACAUCAACACUUAUCUCCGCGAAGACCCAUUUCUGAGGAAGUACUUGCCAAUCGACCCGUCUGGAAACCAGCUUUUUGAUCUGAUCAGGGAUGGUGUUCUGCUCUGGUGAGAUGGCUGUCUUGUUUCUAGCUAGUAGCAGAGUGCAUUCCCUUGAACUGGUUAAACGAAAUUUAUCUGAAGCUAGACCUUUCUGAUGGUUGCUCAUUUAUGGCUCAUUUUCUCAGCAAAUUGAUCAAUGUAGCUGUACCUGGGACCAUUGAUGAGAGAGCAAUAAAUAAGAAAAGAGUUCUUAAUCCAUGGGAGAGAAAUGAAAAUCAUACACUCUGCCUCAAUUCUGCCAAGGCCAUUGGAUGCACUGUUGUCAACAUUGGUACACAGGAUUUGGUGGAGGGAAGGGUAUGUUAUGUGUUCCCUCCUUGAAUGCUGCAGUUUGAUUUAUUUGGAGAAGUUAAGUGAUGAUGUUCAUGGAACUAUCUGUCCUCAAUUCCUCAAUGUAUUGUACAGUGCUUGUUAACUUUGGUACCAAAUUCACAGCGGUUACAACUUUGUACCAAUCUCUAUAUUCUUUAUAUCACCUAUUAGUACGUGCUCCCUAUAUUUUCUUGCUCUUCUCCUAUCUGCUUCUCUACAAAACUACAACAGGCACUUAGUCACCUUCUUGCAUGGACUCAAUAUUACUCUCAGUUCUCGUUUUUUAUCCAAGCAAAUCAUUGAAAACAUCAUGGCUUACACAAACUUAUAUUGUUUUGCAUGCAGCCUCAUUUAGUUCUUGGAUUGAUAUCACAAAUCAUAAAGGUAAACAUUGAACUGAGCAUUGCAUUUUGAUUUUUGGGGCAAUUCAGCAUACAGACUAUCAUCAAACUUCUGGUUCAUUGAAUAAAGAGUUGUUUGUACUUGUCAUCAGAUUCAACUUUUGGCUGAUCUGAACCUCAAGAAGACACCGCAGCUGGUGGAAUUGUUUGAUGACAGCAAGGUAAAUAAGGGCAUUUUGUCAUUGUUUUUUCCUCUGCAUGUUUUGAUUUUUUAAUUCUUUCAGCAUGUUUUCUUGAAACAAAUUCACUUUAACCCCUAUUUUGCAGGAUAUAGAUGAGGUUUUGAGCUUGUCACCAGAAAAGAUGCUACUUCGGUGGAUGAACCAUCAUCUGAAAAAAGCUGGCUACAAGAAAACUGUUAACAAUUUCUCUUCAGAUGUGAAGGUGCAUAUAAUAAACAACAAUGCCACCAAAUUAUCAGUCACUUGUUUAUUUGCUGAUACAUGCCACUUGAUUAUCUUGUCACUGCAUUUGAGUUAUAUUGACAAACUAAAGCUGGUUAUGCACCAUUUGUUAAAGACUACUUUAUUCUACUAUACCCUUAGCUGGAUGCAGUUACCAACUUACCAUCUUAGGCAUAUAGGAGUUAGGAAAAGUGUUAGACUGUGCUUGAUCCAUCAUAAUUGCUUUCUUUUUUUGAUGCUGCUGUGUUUACUUUGAUCAACAACCAUGGUCACACAAGUUAGUUCUAUACAGGAUGGUGAAGCCUAUGCUUACCUUCUGAAAGCUCUUGCUCCAGAGCAUUCCCCUGAAACUACAUUGGAUACCAAGGAUCCGGAUGAGAGGGCAAAACUGGUACUUGAACAAGCGGAGAAGUUGGACUGUAAAAGAUACCUGACCCCAAAGGAUAUCACCGAGGGAUCUGCCAAUUUAAAUCUUGCAUUUGUUGCGCAAAUAUUCCAGCAUAGGUAAAUGUGAUUAACUUUGGUUGCAUAAAAAUUUCAAUAUGUGACUUACCUCACCAAAUCACGUGAGCUAAUUUUCCCUCUGCCACAUUUACAUUAAAAGUUUAGCAGAUAAUCACUAUGGAUUCGACAUUGUCAUCUGAUCCUCACUUGGAUCCUAUUGUCCUAUGCUGCGCAGGAAUGGUCUAACGAGUGACACCAAACAAGUUACGCUCACACAGACGGCAACACGUGAUGAUGUUCUAUUGUCUAGAGAAGAAAGAGCCUUCAGAAUGUGGAUCAACAGCCUUGGGGUUGAAUCAUAUGUAAACAAUGUAUUUGAAGAUGUUCGCAACGGGUAAUAAGACAUUUGAUAGAUUUUAUAUUGAUCUCUAAAUGAGUUUGUUAUUAAUGUCCAUCCUGAUGCAGGUGGGUACUUCUUGAAGUACUUGAUAAGGUUUCUCCUGGAUCUGUCAAUUGGAAGCUGGCAUCAAAACCUCCAAUUAAAUUGCCAUUCAGAAAACUGGAGAAUUGCAAUCAAGUUGUAAAAAUCGGGAAGGAGUUAAAGUUUUCUUUAGUAAAUCUAGCUGGGAAUGAUAUUGUUCAGGGAAACAAGAAACUGAUUGUUGGUGAGUCUGUCCACGUCUAAUUUACCAGUGACACUAAUGGAUCACGCUCUUAAUAUUUAUUUGUAGCAUCAUAUAACUGAAUUCUUUGGUGUUGUCUUUCAGCACUUUUGUGGCAAUUGAUGAGAUUCAAUAUCCUUCAGCUGUUAAACAAGCUAAGAUUCCAUUCCCAAGGGUCCCAAGGAAAAGAAAUUACUGAUGCUGAUAUUCUAAACUGGGCCAACAGCAAAGUGAAAGCAUCAGGAAGAACUUCUCGAAUGGAAAGUUUCAAGGUGCUUCAAUGUCCACUGACUGAAGUCCUAUUUAUUUGUCUGAAAACUCUGGUUGCUUAGUUUCCUAUAUUCCCCUACAGGACAAGAGCUUAUCGAAUGGAUUGUUCUUCCUUGAGCUUCUUAGCGCAGUACAGCCAAGGGUUGUGAACUGGAAAGUUGUUACUAAGGGGGAAGCUGGUCUGUUCUCAGCCCUCAGCCCAUAUGCAUUCAGUUGACUAUUGGAUAGCCUUAUUUCUGACUAAUCAUUUUGUGUUCUCCACAAUUGACUUCAAAACUAAAUCAUAACUAAUCUACAAUCUGUUUUUUUCAGAUGAGGACAAGAAGCUGAAUGCUACCUACAUCAUUAGUGUUGCUAGGAAGCUUGGAUGCUCUGUAUUUCUGUUGCCAGAGGACAUCAUAGAGGUAAACUGCUAUUGCUAGUAAAUACAUUACAUGUUAAUGUAUCUGUUUAAUGUGCUGUUUAUUCUCUCUUUCUAGAACAAUGAUGCUGAUUCUCACUUGGGAAUUGUUAUUUAGCCAUUACAUUAUGGAUUCACGUUCUUACGAUCUUACCGGUUCAACAGGUGAAUCAGAAGAUGAUCCUUACACUUACCGCUAGCAUUAUGUAUUGGAGCCUACAGAAACAACCUCAGUCACAAUCUGAAAUGCCAGAGCAAUCAGAGCCAUCUAGCAUGACUUCAGAUGCAGCCUCUGAUAUUGCCUCGGAGGAUGGAGCUUCAACGACUGCGCCAUCUGAGUCCGAAGAGGUGAACUCGCUGUCUGAUAGCAUGUCCAAUUUGACAACGGAUGAUGCUACUUCGAACGCCCCAUCUACCGAAAAUGGAAAUGGUGUGGCAGGAUCCUGAUGGUUAUGCAGCUGCAGUUCUUUUUCCACAUAGUCCUGGUUUUUAAUAGAGGGAAUAGUGCUUUCGUUUCCCAAAGUCUUCGCUACCAGAAGUGAUUUUUUUUACUACUUCUGCAUCCUGUGUAUGGUAGCUUGAUAGAUACAACAAAUGCAGAUAGAUAUAGAUGCCGUUUGUUCAUUGGAUUCGCUUCAUAUCUUACUAUAGGGGAAAAAAGAUAUAGUAUAUGCUGCUGGAUGGGUAUUUUUUGUAUUGCUGGUAUACACCCAUGAAAAUCUUAUGUGCUUCUGUAUCUGGUCGGUCAAUUCGUUCAUCUGUUCCUUGGACUAGUAGUCAUUAUGUACUACUUGGUGGCCAUCAUCUAUUGUAAUGCGUUGGUAUUCUGAUGAAACAUGCCUGUACAUAACAUACUUUAAAAAGGUUUUGCCCUGCCCAGGAUUUUUUUGUAAAUACUGUUCUUUUUUCGUUCUUUUGCAUGCGAUUUGCAUAGUUCAACCUGAGAGCUCGAUUUGAUUCGACUGUUUACCUUGCAGUCAUUUCAGGUCCAAUUCAAUUCCCGUUUUAAUAUCAUUUGCAGUAGCCAAAAUGAGCAACUGCAUCGAUCACGCUUCUUUCAUCUGUGAUGACUGUUUCCUCAUGCGAACGCCAUUCCGUGCGUUGAGUUUCGUGCUUUUUUCCGCCGGUGAAACACGAUGACGAGAUGACUUCAGUUAUAUUUUCUUUUUGAAUGAUCUCAGUUGUUGAGCAUCAUUAUGCAAGUUGAUUCUAGGUAAGUACUUGCAGGGCUAAGCACUUGAAGAGGCAGGCUUAGAGGGGUAGCUCCCUGCCAUCACUCAGUACAAAGCUGCCUGGUCCCCUACUGCUACUCAAUUCCAUCAUUGCCUCCCCCCCUCUCCCUUCUUUAACUACACAACUCUCUCUUCUCAAGGCCCGGGCACUAUGCAAGUCAAGCCCGAAGCCGUGGCCCCCUCCGUCGUCUCCGCCAUUGCCAUCUCCGCCGCCGCCGCCUACCCAUCAACGCAGAAAGGUGGAGGGGAACAGCGGGGCAUGAGAGCGCGGCGGUGAUCAAGGAGUUUACCGGCCUACACGUAUCGGCGUCGCGGCAUACAAGGGCAGACCAGGCAUUCGAUUUCCUUCGUAUAUUACUCCUAGUUCAGUUGUACUAGCUAGCAAUCAUUCAUUCUCUUUCUCUUGCUUGCUUAGUUUUGGCUUCCGCAACAACGACAUUGUAUUGCUGCAGAGGGCUGUGAAUAAUCUCGCAGUUUUUUCCGGAUGGUUGGUGUUGCCUACUUGCCUUGGUUGAUCUGUGGUCGGUUCCUUGGAGAAACACACUUUCUCUGAACUGGAUGAGUGCUUCCUUCUGAGCUGUAACGUAACGAGUUUUCUCUAUGUGUUGCCUCUUGCUUCUGCCUUGCAAUCGACGUCCAAAACGCGGCGGUAUAUACAGUAGUAUAUAUAAAUGAAGUCCUGUGCCUUCUCCAUUUGCAUGUUUGGUACGUCGCGCAACAUUGUUCACCACUGCGCCUAUCCGGACUCAAACAGCUCGUUCUUGGUAGCAUCUAGCAUUGCUAGAUGGAGGAAAUUGAAUCUGCGGGAUCUCUGUAUAACAUACCAAAACGACAGUGGAGCUGCUGUACUUCGUUCACUUCCCAAACAGUGCCCCUCUGUGUAUAUCACCCCCGCCAAAUCAGUGUCGUCGAAAAUCUUCACCUGAUCGAGCACCAGGCCGCAUUGGCAAGCACCUGAUUUGGUUCCUCCGCAUCUGCACGACAACGGUGGCGUCAUCCUCGCGCCUUCUGCCUGUUCUUCGGCGAGCAUCCGGGGCCGUAUGGCCUCUCCGUGACCCUGAGAACGCCUGACCGACGUCAACGCCGGGCACAGUACACGUGCACGAGCAUCGCUCUCAUGAUCACUGUCCCGCUCGCUGGCGGGCUCACCAGUCGCUGCACGCCUGCGGACGGAGCGCUGGAACGGCUGGCACCGGGACAGCACUUGCCCUGCUUGUGCUUGGCUUUGUUUAUCAAUCGCGCUCCGGCCGCGUCCCACCAAAGACCCGCACAUGCAGUCGUCGCUGUCUGGUUCUCCCAUAAAUCGUGGUCGGCCCGCUGGCGCCGCUCGUGCAGACAACGCAGGACCGGGCCGGGGCCUGUUCGCUCCCCCACAGUGCUCGCGGCCAGGGAGACGACACGGUGCCGAGCCGACGCGAGCGGCGGCAACCUCGGCCUGCGACUGCGCUGCCCCUGCGAGGCUGCGAGCGUGUACUAGGCGUGUAGCCCGCCGGGCCAGCACCCGGUUUUCGGGCGUGGUGCUGGCUGCUGGGGGCAUUUGGCAAGUUCCGUCUCACGCAUCGCAUCGCAUCGCAUGCUGCAGCCGAGCGAUCGAGCAGCUCGCCGCUAGAUGCCAACGCAAGAUUGGCGUCCUCGGUUGGGGUUAGCAAGCGCUCGACGGGACGCCUCGAGGGCCGAGGGGUGGUGUACUGGUAUCCAAUGGCUCUGGCGAUCGGCGCCUGCUUGGCCCGUUUCGUGGAGUUGUCAUCGUCCGGGCGGGGCUGCGCGGCGCGAUCGCGUCGCGUCCCGCGUCCGCGCGUGCGUGGGUGGGUGACUGUUUCCUGUGGCUUGGUGGAGUGUGCCGAGCGCCCCCUGUUGGGGAUCUUGCCAGCAGGGCCCCAAGAUUGACGCGGCUGGCAUCGCGCCCGAGAGGGAGGGGGAUUGGAGAUUUUGCGGUGCCAUGGCAUUGGCAUGGGGUGUGGUGCGAUGCGAUGCGACCGGGCGGAGCAGGGUUGACCCUGUUGGAUUUGAGCGGCAGGGUGGGGGGACACGCGACAGGCUCAGGCGCUAUUGAAGUGGUAGCACAGUAGCAAGGGGUACUGUUCAAGUGGUAGCGCUGUUGACACUAUUGGAACUGUACCUCUAUCUCGAGAUGGAUCGGACGGUCCGCGAUGGUCGGAUCUAGACGUCUUUGCUUUCUUCCAAAUCAAGUGUCCUUGUUUUUCUCUAUAAUUUUUGUAUCCAAAAAACGGCCGAUUGGGCAAUGUAGGUUUCCAGCGGGCCAGGGUCGGCUAAUGAUACAAUCCACAUUAGUGUGGCCCAGUGGCCCUUGUCUUUCAACUCGACGACCCAACCAAAAAGAUACAGAGAACAGGCUGCAUGCCGACCCACGAGAGGCCCAGUACAUGCUGAUGGCCAGUCUAUGACUGCAGUGCUGGUGCAUGCUAAUUCCAGAUUUCCAGUUCGUUCCCUAGCUGCUGACAGUGUUGCUAAUUAUGGUGUUAGAAUACGUAGUUCCAAACUGUGCUUGUAAUCCGUUUCAAUUAUCUCUUCUAAACAUGAAUUGGCAGAGCUGCGUGCUGCCGUUGACCAGUGACCAGCCUGGGAGAAGCAAGCCUCGCCACGGGCGGCCACGUCAUUCGCUGGCGUAGCAGCACUUACGGCAUCGGUGUAUGUUUGCAAGGCUUGCACGCCGUGCGUAGCGAGAGAGAUGACUCUUAUUCUAACUCUGGUCGGAUAAGACAAGGGACUGAUCGAUUAGGAGAGCUUCGUGACAGUGGCCCUAGGCGUUGCUUUAUGAAAAAUGUUUCACGUGAAGUUAACCAAUCACGUAUUUUGGUAUACGUUCAGCAAAUUCAAGGCAGCGUACACUGUCAAGACUUGCGAGAUGUACUCGUUGGUACGUCAAGACUCGUGAAUAUUGUUAGAUUUGAAGAAUGCCAAUUCGACAUUUAAGAUGCAAACCAAACACCUGAAAUGGCAUUUAGACUCCGUUAGGGUCUUAGGGAGGGUAUCUUCCUUUUAAGCUUCACAGGCUUCAUAAAUCGGAACUCUACCAAAAGGCUCUUAAUGCAUCACUCUGUCCAACCAAACAAAACCUAUGAUCCCACCUCUAGUGCCCCAUUAACGUUACCAAUCCCGGAACCAAUCGCUAUCUUAGUAUUGGAGUCUGCUUGUAACAUGUUUCAAUUCUCUCCUCCAACGUGAAUUGGCAGUGUUUUUUAGAAGAAGAAAAAAGGACUAGCUCCUGACCAGCCGGAGAGAAAAGCGAGCUUCGCCACGGCUCUCCGUCGCGUCAUCCGCUGGCGUAACAUCACUUACGGCAUUAGCGUAUGCUCGCACGGGACGCACGCCGUGCAUGCCGCAGCGAGAGAGAUGGCUUAUUUUAACUUUUGCUUCGAUAAGACGAGGUACAGAGCGACUGGGAGAGCUCCAACCGUUUCUGUUAAAAAAAAAGUACUCGGUCGUACGUGCUCGUGUGAGACAAGUAGUCGAGCACGAGCAGGGAAAGUGACCGAGCUUUGGUUAAACUCCCCCCGGGCCUCCGCCGCGUCAUCUCUGCUGGCGUCGCAGCGCUUACGGCAUCGAGUGCGUUCGUUCGCCUAAGUCGGCAUCUCUCGCGGGCACGGUUAAAACGGCGUCCCCGCGCGCCCGGCGACACGGUCACAACCGACGUCGUUCUCGCGUGUUUUUAGAUAGUUGUAAUCUUACAAGAGCACAAGUUGUAUACACUUCUAUGCAACCUACAUCCUACGCUUAUACUCACAUGCCUAUCUUGAAGCGAUGGUCUUGGAUAUCAGUUUUCAGUACGUGUUGCCCGGUUCCGGAGGGGUUCGAACCUGGGACCUCCUGAGCCUGGUGCUACCUGAGCUUCCGGUGACCAACCGAUCCCCAGGCCCAUUCACUCAUUCUCGCGUGUUAGAAAAAGUCGCCGUUAUGAUAGGGGCCGAUGGACGCUCGAUGGGUGGAAUCGUCUGGCCUCAAGCAAGCGGUAGUGUAGUGCUAGUACUAUGGUGAUUGGUGAUGGAUGCCUAAGUAACUCCAAAAGCUCCUUAAAACAGCUCAAAAAUCUGAUUUAGGGAGAAAAAGAAAAAAUGUAUGCUCCAACAUGUCCUUCAACCUUACCAAAAAAAUACGACCACCCAAAUGUGAGAGCUCGGCGCUUUCCCAAUCACUGGAUGAGUGGAACCGGACACCGCGCAUCAACUUCCUGCGGUGUACCUGGACGCCGUGAUCGCGGUAUGCUUUGUCGCCGCGAGCGCGGUGGCGUGGCUGGCCGAUUUCGUCACGUUGCAGCCAUUCGACGCACCUCGAUAGGGACGCGUGGGUUGCCACCUCCGUGCGCGUAGUUACAGUUGUUUGAAUUAAUCGUCCACAUGGAGUGGUACUACAAAAUUACCACGCAAACUCUCCCCUCACAUCCUCCUUCUUCGCCGCUGCCUGAUGGUGAUAGAUGUCGAUCAUGAUCGGGCAUAGUGUGCGACGUUCAUCCAAUCCACCUGGACGCGUGCAGUUCUUCAUCAAGAUGCAGAUGGAGCUCACCAAGGCCACCGGCUGCGAUGCCAUGCCGCGGUCACGAGAACGGGUAUGACCGCGGAGGUAGGCAACACAAACUCUACCGCUAGCCCAACUGAGAGGCCCGCAACUGCUGACAUGGCAGUUUUGAAGUAUUGUGAAAUUUAUUGUUAGGGAUCUGCUGUGAGGUGACGUGAUUUUGAGAAAAAAAUUUAAUAGAAUUCUAGUAGAUAAUUUUGAAGAAUUUUAUUUUUGAAAAACUCUUGAAGUUGCUCUAUGCUGCUGUCAUUUCCCCGCGAGGGAAGGAAUCUAAUUUCCUGCCAUCGCGACCAUUGUUGGUCCACAACCGCAGGUCUCGAUCGGGGCCAGGGGAGCGCACGCCUAAAACAACGGCGGCACGCGCGCGGCCACGUGGGAACGACGCGAGCAUGGGCCCAAGUCAGUGCUAGUGUGACUGUAGACUGAGACAUCGCGCGCGCGGAGCUUCGUGGUCACAUGACAUGAUUGUCCCGGACUCCCGGUGAGAGCUUGCAGCGUGAAAAACACAACGCAUCUCCCCUCUGCUUGAGAAUCGGAACGCACCCUCAGAAUCCCGGACUCCACGAGUAUGCGCACACGCUCCUCCCCUUUUGGGCUGCGUAAUGAACAUCACUUACAUCAGGGGGGAAAAGAAGUUUAACGGGAUGCCUUUCUAGCUCAUGGCAUAGCCGCAUAGGUCCUGGGCUAGUGGCUGGUCUCUCGCGUCCCACGCGUACGUUUUAAUUAACAGUACACAUGGUUGGUGCGAAGCACCACUCAUUCGAACGACACUCAUCUGCAGCUGCUGCUUUCACUCAAAGAAAAUCGCUAUGCAUCCUAAGACGUCGGACUCACAUACGACCAUGUUUGGUCUAUGGGCGCCCGGCACGGCACGUGAACCUCCGUGACAUUGAUGUGAGAUUGCCUGGCUCAGAUCAAUCAAGGUGGAAGGGUAUGAUAUAUGAGAGGUCAGAGCUUAUAUUCGGUGUCUAGAAGAAAUCUUCAAAAGGUACCAACGAAAGAAACAAAGAUCCGUUUUUUUUUUGUGUGGUUGCUACUUGCUAGUAGAGUCUAACCUGGGCUGGUCAUCAGAGAUCAACAUGCAUCGGCGUUUGUUGGUCGAAUAGACUAAACGCCUCACUUAAGUCAGAAUUAUAGGAAGUAUAGAGUCACACUACUUGACAAAUCAGAAGACAACUCAUGGUAUAUGUUAUCUAUUAAGUUGUUGAGUUUACGUUGGAUGAGACCAAUAUACACUACGGCAGAAAACAUCUACCUAGCAGCUAAAAUAUAUUUGGCGGGUUUUGCACCCGCCAACAACUUUCUAUCAGUACAAAUGCGAUCUGCGCUGGCGGGUGCUUGACCGUCACCACUGCACUGGCGGAUGCUUAAGAAACCCGCCAGCAAAGAUAAUUUUAGAAAAAAAAAAGCCGAACAUAGGCGCUCGUCCGUCAGCAUCAUGGCCGCGCGCGCCGCCUCGUGUUGCAGCUCAUGUCGUCGUGAGCCCCGAGGCAGACCUUCUUGGCUCUGGACUCCACCGCGUGCGCCCGCCCCAGAGUGCCGCCGCGUACGUGCAGCGACUCAGCCUACACCUCUGCGCCAUGCGCCAGCCGCGAAUCUCCACGCGAGUGCGCCAAGCUCGGAGGCGGCAGCGAGCCUCUUAUGCCUCCUUCCCCAACCAGAGUCAACGCCGAGCGUGUAGACCCGCGUAGAGCUCGGCAGUGGCGGCAUGCCUCUGAUGCCUCCUUCCCUAAUCGGAGCGGUAGCCAGCUGUAGCAGCGGCCAAGGACAUAAGCAGCAGGGUCACCUCAUCAGCAGUUCGCUUCAUCCCCGGUGCGCGUCGGCAAUCACCCUCCACAUCCUUGCCAACCUGAGCAACGAAUAUGAAUGAAACAAAAGUGCUGCAAUGAUUUUGUUUUUGAUCAUCUACUACAAUUAAUUUCAGUGCCGCUGUUCUUGCAAGAUUGAGCACGUACCUUGGACGAGCUGCAUGAGCAGCGGCAGAAGCUCGCCAUCGCGCACCGGAGCUGCCCAUGGGUCCGCCGGCCAUAGCGCCUCUGCCCGUGUUGUCGCAGCUGCCUGUGGCUCCAGCCGACGUGGCUCGUGCCCGCACCAGACACCAAUGUGGGGCCAUCGCUCAGCCAUCUGCAACUUGCCGACGCAGCACGCGCCGGCCACCGCUCCAUCGUUUGAGUCAGCCACAGCUUCACUGUGGAGACAGAGAUAAGCAAGAGAAGUGUGCAGUGAAAGUGAUGAGGUUGAGCAAUGCAAAGAGAUAAUGUAGGGAUGGAGCAGAGGCACCGGGUGGAGAUAAAGUCUGUUUGCUUCGCUAGCUUGGUGUCAUUUGUGCUGGCGGGCCACCUACAGCACAGAUGCAUCCCAUCUAUGCUGGAGCCUAGCGGCCUCGAUCACCUUUGUGCUGGUGGGUGCCAAUUUCGUCCAGCAGCAUACUAAUUUCAACGUGACAGCACAUAUCGUUUCUGACGGUACGAUAAUUAUCUUAAUUUUAGAAUUCUCAUCCUUGUACGCGAACUUAACCUCCCAGUAAAAUCAUCUUGCACAACCUGUUUAGUGUUCACCUCCGUCUCUCUAGCGACAAGAAAAUCGCUCGAUGCCCCGUGCCCCGUCACGCUAACGUAGUUAGCUCCACCAGGCCCAUCACCGUGAUCCCCCUGCCCAUCCAGCGGUCCUCCAUCGCCCGCUUUCUGCCCCCACCGUUCGUGUCUGUGCUCCCGCGCUCACCACCGCCACGAAUUAACCUACCUCUCGUGCUCCCGAGCUUCCUUUAAGAGGAUGUUUGAAUCCUGAAGCUAAAGUUUAGUCUUUAUCAUAUCGAAUAUUCUGGCUAAUUAGGAGGACUAAAUAUAAGUUAAUUAUAAAACUAAUUACGAGGCUAAGCGGCGGGACGAAUCUAUUAAGCUUAAUUAAUCCAUCAUUAGUAAAUGGUUACUGUAGUAGCACAUUGUCAAAUCAUGAACUAAUUAGACUUAAUAGAUUCGUCUCACCGUUUAGCCUCCAUAUGUGCAAUGGGUUUUAUAAAUAGUCUAUGUUUAAUGCUCCUAGUUAGUAUCUAAACAUUCGAUAUGACAGGGAUUAAAGUUUAACCCCCGCCAGAUACCAGUGACCCCCGCCAAAUCUCAAGCGUGUCGGGGAGCUCGUUGGAGCUUCAUCACCAGAGUGUAAGAAAAAAGCCUCAAGCGCAAAUCACGACUCAAAUCUGGUGGUUACAAAAUCUAGUGAGAAACACCCGAUGCCAAUCAGCUUACCCGACAAGAAAAAAUAAAAUACAUUAUUAAAUACUCCGUUUGUUUUAAAUUGCAAAUUUAUAAUUUUUUUAUGUAUAGACAUACUUAAAAUAACCGGAGGGACCAGCUUUGAUUGACGGCCGGCUGACUCAUGUUGGCCAAUCCUGAAUGACCAAUAAUGUAGCAAUGUCACACGUCCAGUGCACGAGUCGUUGCUCCAGUGUUACAAUGGUGUAUUAUACGAGUGGAAUGAACUACCACUCCUAAGAAGCGCGCGUAGAUUUUUCGUAAAAUGAUAUUUUGAGUCUGUGGCUGGUACCAGCUUAAUGCUUCGAACGCAAGGACCAGUGAGAAAGGGCCCAGCUGGAUACGGAGAACACCACGCGGCUCCACCGGAUUGGGGAGCACCAAAGGCGUACGCUCAAGCUACGUGAGUUUGGACUCACUCUCCUUUCAGCUACUGCCAGGCGCCUAUAAAUUGGGGAGCUCUACUGACCGUGCUCUGCAACCACAACGUGCCACAGCUAGCGAGAGUAGAAGUGAUAAGCAAACAAGUUUGCCACUGCUCAGCACCUGGCCGUUAGCGCAGCCAUGAAGGUAGAGCGCGACCUCCACAUGAGCCGGGGCAACGGCGAGACCAGCUACGCCUCCAACUCCAGGCUUCAGGUCUGUGAGCUUCUGCAUCAGCAUCUGUAACCUGUAGACUGCAGUAUGCAUGGCUGAAUGCCUGAAUCAUACGCAUGUUAGUAUGAUGUUAAAAAUGCAUGUUAAUAUGAUGUUAGCAAUGCAAAACAAGGAAGAAAUUGCACUUGUGCAUGCGUGUUAAUUGUAGUUGUUCUUCAGGAGAAGUCCAUACUGAAGACGAGGCCCGUGCUCCACGAGGCCGUGGCGGCGGCGCACGCGGCGUCGCUCUCCUCCGCCGCCGGCGCGAUGGUCGUCGUGGACCUCGGCUGCUCGUCGGGGCCCAACACGCUCCUCGUAGUCAACGAGGUGCUCGGCGCGGUCGCCGACCGCCGCGAGGACCUGAUGAUGGGCGGCCAGCAGCCGCCGGUGGUGCAGCACGUGCAGUUCUUCCUGAACGACCUCCCCGGGAACGACUUCAACCUCGUCUUCCAGUCCCUGGAGCUGUUCAAGAAGCUGGCCGCCGCCAAGGAUAAGGGCGAGUCCCUGCCGCCGUACUACAUCGCCGGGCUCCCGGGGUCCUUCUACACCAGGCUCUUCCCCGACCGCUGCGUCCACCUCUUCCACUCCUCCUACUGCCUCAUGUGGCGCUCCAAGGCACGCACAGUUUUAACCAAUCAACCGACCGGCCCGAGCACUUCUGAUGACAUAGCUCUAUUCGUGUGUGUCUAAUAGGUUCCUGAUGAGCUCGCGAGAGGCACGGUUCUGAACGAAGGCAACAUGUACAUCUGGGAGGCCACGCCGCCCUCGGUGGUGAAGCUGUACAGGAAGCAGUUCCAGGAGGACUUCUCGCUGUUCCUCAAGCUGCGUCACAAGGAGCUCGCGUCGAACGGACAGAUGGUGCUGACGUUCCUGAGCAGGAAGAACAAAGACGUGACGCAUGGCGAAGUCAGCUACAUGUGGGGGCUGCUCGCGCAGGCUCUCCAGUCCCUAGUCAAACAGGUUUGUCAUUUGCGCAACAUUAUCGUCAACUGCAGAUGAUCUGUGUAGAUCAAUCCAUCACUCAUGAACUCAGCCCUAGAUAAUCUUCAAAAAGUGACAGUCUGACAGAGACCUGAACCAUGGAUCUUGCAUUCUUCUUGUUGCGUGGCAGGGCCGUGUGGAGAAGGAGAAGCUGGACUCCUUCAACCUGCCGUUCUACGCGCCGUCGGUCGACGAGGUGAGGGACGUGAUCAGGCAGAGCGAGGCGUUCGACAUCAACCACAUCCAGCUCUUCGAGUCCAACUGGGAUCCCCAUGACGACCUGGACGACGGCGACCUCGUGCUCGACAGCGCCCAGAGCGGCGUCAACGUCGCCCAGUCCAUUAGGGCCGUGAUCGAGCCCCUGAUCGCGCACCAUUUUGGCGACCACAUCCUCGACGAUCUCUUCGAGGUUUAUGCAAGGAACGUCGCCAAGCACCUCCAGAAAGUGAAGACCAAGUACCCUGUCAUCGUCGUUUCCUUGAAGGCGAGACGCGCGCCAAAGUGCCAUGCGAAUGACAGGUGUCACUCGUUCACACACGGUCAGUUUGUGUAGGAUCUGGUGUCAAUGUUACUUCUACUAUAUACAGCAAAUUAAAGUGCAGAGAAAUAAGACGAGGUUGUUGUAUAUCGAUAUAAGAAAAUGAUGAAGUAGUUAAAGGGACUGUCAGUGGCAGAGAAUAGUUCCUCAACUACGUCCUUUGGAUUUAUUAGAUGGUUCAGUGUUUCCAAAAAUUCGAUGUAUGUAUCCGGUUAGAUAUGUGCUGUAAUCUUAUGUGGAAUUGAAGCAAAUACGUUUCGAUGAUUUGGGUCUACUCUUGUACACCUAGGUAGUAUCUUGUUCACUGAUUUUGGGUCAAUGCAUGAGUACCAAAGAGAUGCGGAGAAAUGAAGUACUUCUUUCUUUCAAAAGAAAAAAAAUGCAAUUCUAAAUUUAUCCUAAGUAAAAUAUUUUUAAAUUUGGUAAGUUUAUAAAAAAUCCAAAUAUUUUACGUGGAAGUGAAGUAAAUAUUUUACAAUGAUUUGGUUCUACGCUUUGUUUGGUGAUUUUUUGUCAAUGCAUUAGUGAAGAGUAGCAAAGAGAUGCAGAGAAAUGAAGUGCUUCUUCCAUUAAAAAAAAGAAUCUAUUCUAAAUUUGUUCUAAGUCAAACAUUUACAAGUUUAAUCAAUUUUGAAAAAAAAUCAAACAUUCAUGAUACCCAAUAAGCUUCAUUGAAUCUACCAUGAAAUAGAAUUAGUAUUAAUACUCUUCUCUAAAUUUUGGUCAAAUGUAAGAUAGUUUGACUUAGGAUAAAAAUAGAAUUACAAAUUAUACCAUCAAAGUUGUACGUCUUGUGCCCUCAAUGACUAAAUUAGGUCAGUACGCGCAUAAACUCCACCAAGAAAUCCUUCAUCACAUUGUACAAUCUUCAGCGUCAGAGAGGCUAUACGAUAAGUAGCCCAAAGGCCAACGAGAAAUCAUCAGUCAUCGUCUCAUCGAGUAACAUCAAUCAAAACACAUCAGGAGCAUCUGCUGCCUGCACCUGACGCACUCAAAGUCUGAAACCACAACGUCUACUGAAACUGUCAAUUUCCGAUUUGCCAUCCAAUGUUCAGACUUCCAUCCAGCUUUCUUCAGCCCUUUGUGACAGAAUGAAACCAUUUCUAAUCCGAUCAGAUCAGCAUCACCUUCAAUCCUCACACAGCAUACACCCCAAAAAUGAAAAAAGAACCUGCGUGGACUCUGUUGCCUCCCUUCCCUUCGACUGAGCUUGUACUGCAGAUCACGGGUAGCACGAAGCCGCAUGGUGUCUCUGUGGAGCUAGGAAGGAAUCCUUCACCGUCACUCUGCACAAUUGGCGUUGCCCUGUGGAGCGGAAAAAACACCAGGGCCCAGACCAUCGCUCGCCGGCGAUCGAACCGCCUGCCACUGCUUCGCCCGCGCCGCCGCAACACCGGCGCGGCGCGGACGCCAGCGCCUGGCUGCCUCAUCGAGGCUUCAAAUCUGAGGUAGUGGGGGAUUAUCCUCUCCGUAUCCAUUUCUGCAGCAUCUCCAGCUCCGCGUCCGCCGCGGCGGAGGCUCGCCGGAGCUCCGCCGCCGAGAUCCACCUUUUUUCACUUUACCCCUGAUUUGGAUCGCGACCAUUAAUUGCGAUCCGAUUUGUUCCACUUUAGACCCUGUUUUUUUAUACUUUACCCCUAAACUUUACAGAUCACCCCUCCUGCCGCUCCAUCGUUCUCCUCGUCCUCCCGCCGCCGGCGCGCGUUCGCCGCCGCCCGCCCGGCGUCGACCGGCGCAUCAGACGCACAACGAGCGGCUAUUCAGCGGGACAUUUUUUUAGGCGCCGCUUCCGUCGCCUGAUUAAUGAUAAUUUUUCGAGGAACAACCCUCAUCUACAUCGUGCGGAUGGCUUGGGCAGUUCUCCCUCCAUUCCCACCACGCACCCUUCUUUUCGGUACGCCGGCGCCGGGGCGCUCCUCGAGCUUCUGUUCGCUGUCGCUUCUGGGAGGCGUCAUUGCCGUCGUCGGUGAAGGAGGUCCAGGCGUCCAGCUUCCACGAGCCGGCGAUCCAUGGUGUAAUUCAAGCCGGUCUCUGGUUUGCAGUACUUCACAGCCACGAGUCCACGAGGAGUCUGGAGCAGGUCCUCGAAGUAAACCUCCAUCACAGUUUCAUCAUACAGGCAGGGUGUUCUCUGAAAGAAGUCACCUUAACAAUGGCGCUCAAAGUUGAUUCGAUGAUUGUUUUAUACUCAGGCUUUACAACAGACAAUUUCUGCUGAGGGUAUCGCCACUUCAUGAUCUAUCAGCAAGGUGUCUGCUAGCACCAGUAUCGGCAUUAAUGGUGCUGGAUUUGUCCUCAAAAGUUUGAAACUCCUCCAGCCAAACGACCUGAUAAAAGAAAAAAAAAGGAUGAACAUGUUCAUAGGCUCAAAGAAACAAUUGCCAUGCAUGUCUCUUAAUCAGGAGAAGACUGGGGCAUUUCAGUAGAUAUAUCUCAAUCAUAAAGAUAUACCCUUGUCAAGUCUUAGCUUAUCAAAUACUUGCAAUGUAAUUCAGAAUAAGUUCAUGUUCUUCCGAAGUAGCACUACCUCAAGGCCUGUGUUCAUAUUCUUACCUCAGUGCGAAGAUCGCUACUUGGAUUAGUUUGACGAUUGCUCAAUAAGUUUUAGUGCGCAGGAAAGUAGGAGGCGUGUUUAAAUUGAGGACAAAGUUUUGUGGCAAUUUAGCUUCCCUCUGUUUUGUCAUCGAUGAGCAAGAAACUGUGCCUCAUUUUUGCUGCAAAGAAUUCCGACUCUUGAGCAUUGUGUAUUUGCAUGUCAGCUCAACCCAGAAGAAGAAAACUACAGUACAAGUCACUGGAGCUCGCUAUUCAGAAGAUUGAAGGACUGAAAGUCUCCACAAAAUCUAAUGGAUCUGCGUUGCAUCUUAUUUCUGUCAGAGAUGCCAGGUCCGUUCGUCAUCUCCUUGGACAUCAUUGUCAACAUAGUUCUGUUGAGAUGUGUACCGAAAGUUGCUGCCCUUGUAAGUCGCAUGGUCGGUUGCCAUGGUGCAAACUGAAUGCUUGUUAGUUAAUCAACUCUGAAUUCUAGCUGUCGUAAUACCUGAGUAAAUUUUCUGAUGGAUUGCCAUUUUCUUUCUUUUUUUGUUAUUUGUGAAUUCUCUUAACAGGUACAGAGGCCAUAUAUCUCUCCACAAUUUUGAAAAGGGAUCUACGUGUGAAGUGCUUUUUACUGUGCAUAAAGAACAUCCAACGAUUCAACGUUUACAUCUGUAAUCAUACCUGAUUCUGAUUUGCCAUCCAAUGUUCAGACUUCCAACUUUCUUCAGCCCUAGUGUCACAGAAUUAAACGAAACCAUUCUAAUUUGAUCAGAUUAUCAUCAUCUUCAACUCUCACACACCCGCAGAAUUAUAAAAGAACCUGCAUGCACUCUGCUGUCUCCCCGCUUCCAAGAAAAAAAAAACGCUUCAAAAAAACUCUGCUGCCUCCAUCUGAGCUCUGCAGCUUGCAACAACAGAGAACAGAGCACGGCGCCCCAUGGUGUAUCAGCUAGGAAUCCGUGACCGUCCACCAUUAGCAUUGCCUGCAUGUGGAGCGAAAGACCAGUGCCCACACCAUCCCUUGCCGGAGACCGCACCGCCUGCCCCUUCUUCGCCCGCGCCGCUGCAACACCGCGCCGGCGGCGCGGCGCAGACGCUAGCACCUGGCUCCCUCAUCGAUACUUCAAAUCUGAGGUACUGGGUAUUAUCCUUGCCGUAUUCUAUUUUUGGAGCAUCUCCAGCCCCGCAUCGGCCGCUGCUGGGGCUCGCCGGAGCUCCGCCGUCGAGAUUCACCUCAUAACAUUUUGCCCCCUGAUGUGGAUCGCGACCAUCGAACGCGAUCCGAUUAUUUUCAUUUUACCCCCUAAUUUGGAUCGCGUUCUUUAAUCGCGAUCCAAUUAUUUAUAUUUUACCCCUGGUUUGGAUCGCAAUUAUUAGUCGCGAUCCAAUUUUUUAUACUUUACCCCCUAUAUCUUUACAGAUUACCCCUCGUGCCGCCUCGUCGUUCUCCUCAUCCUCCCGCCGACCGGCGCCCCGGACGCACUACGAGCAGCCUUUCGGCGGGACUCGGAGUUGCUGCUGCCGUCGCCCGAUGAAUGAGGAUUUUUCGAGAAAGUGAGAAACAGUCCUCUUUGUACAUGCGCGGACCAACGGCUUGGCCAGUUCUCCCUACAAUCCCACCGCGUGCUCGUCGUUCCGUACGCCGGCGCCGGGGCGCUCCUCGAGCUUCUGUUCGCUGCCGCUUGUGGUAAGCGGCAUUGCCGUCGUCGGUGAAGGAGGUCCAACUUCAAUGAGCCGGCGAUGCGUGUAAUUCAAGUGAUCUGUGGUUUGCAGUACUUCGCAGCACAAUCGUGUUUGUUUCUGACUGGAAGGAUGUUUUCCCUUGCUUUUUUUUUUUUUUAACGAACGGGCACGAGACGGUGCCUACUUCAUUGGUAGAGUAGGAAAAAAUAGAGGAAAUUCCCCUGCUUUUUUCGUGCAGCACGACGAGCCUGGAUCAGGUCCUCGAAAGGAUAUGAAUGUGUCUCUUGAUGAUUGAUUUUAAACUGAAGAAACUGACUGUUGGCUUCUGAAUUCCAGCUGUCACAUAAUACCACAUGAUGAAUUGCGAGGUCAUAUAUUUCUCAGGAAACUCGAAAAGGGGUACACGUGUGAAAGUGCCUUUUACUGUGUACCUGACUGAAUCUGAACCUCUUGGGCUUUAGCAUCGAAUGCUUGGAUCAGGUGUCAGGUGGUGUCAAGCUCAAGCUGCCAAUUUCUGAUUUGCCAUCCAAUGUUCAGACUUCUAAGGCCUUGUUUAGGUACCCUAAAUUCUUAACUUUGACAAGAUUCCUCAUCACAUCAAACUUGCAGUACAUGCAUGUAGUACUAAAUGUAGACGAAAUCAAAAACUAAUUGCACAGUUUUGUUGUGCUUUGCGAGACGAAUCUUUUGAGCCUAAUUAGUCAAUGUUUGGACAAUAAUUCACAAAUACAAACGAAAUACUACAGUUGAGCAUUUAUGGCAAAAUGCAAAUUUUGCCACUUCAAAUUUGGGAACUAAACAGGCCAACUUUCUUCAGCCCCGGUGUGACAGAAUGAAACCAUCCUAAUUCGAUCAGAUCAACAUCAUCUUCAACUCUCGCACGCCAUGCACAAGUGAAUUCGAUGAACUUGCAUACACCCCGCAAAAAAAAAACCCUGCAUGCACUCUGCAAUCGCCCUUCACCUGAGCUUGCACUGCAGCUUGCAACAACAGAGAACAGAGCACGGCGCCCCAUGGUGUCUGAGCUAGGAAUCCGUGACCGUGCACCAUUAGCAUUGCCUGCCUCUGGAGCGCAAGACCUGGUCCGCACCAUCGCUCGCCGGGACCGCAUCGCGUGCCACUGCUUCGCCCUUGCCGCCGCAACAUCGCCGCGGCGCGGACGCCAUCACCUGGCUCUCUAAUCGAGGCUUUAAAUCUGAGGUAGUGGAGCUCAUCCUCGGCGCUUUCAAUUUCUGGAGCAUCUCCAGCCCCGCGCCGGCCGCGGCUGGGGCUCGCCGGAGCUCCGCCGCCGGAUUCAACCUUUUUCAUUUUACCCCCUGAUUUGGAUCGCGAUCCAGUUAUUUUGCAGUUUACCCCCUGUAUUGGAUCGCAACUAUUAAUCGCGAUUCGAUUAUUUAUACUUUGCCCACUAUAUCUUUACAUAUUGCCCCUCCUGGCGGUAGUUCGUUCUCCUCGUCCUUCCGCCGCCCGCCCGUUCGGCGUUCGCCGCCACCACCGGGCGUCGACCGGCGGCCUCGGACGCGCCACGAAUUCAGAUAGACCUGGAAGGCGGCGCUGCCGUCGGCCGAUGAAGGAAGCUCUUCGACCAUCUGUUGUGUGCUGGGAAGCGGGCAAGCGGCGUUGCCGCCAUUGUCGUAGCCGUCGUUGGGGAAGGAGGUCCAGCUUCGGCAGUUGAGCUUCCUGCAACGAACCGAUGAUCCGUGCAAUUCAGCCCAUUUGUGGUUUGGGAUACUUCGCAGCCCAGUAUUUGUUGCGAGUUUUCUCUUUUCCUUUUCCGUUUAGAGAAGGACCGAAAUCUGUUUGUUCCAACGGGGAAGAAAGGCUUCUCCUGCUGUGGUGCGGUGGUACCGUGGUGGUGGUGGAGGAGGAUUUUCUUCCCCACGGCGAUUGGACGCGAUGACGGCGAGGUCAGGUAGGCGAGCGUGCGCCCGGCGAGGACGAUGCUGCGCGGCGCGGCGCACGACCACACGGGAGAACCAGCCGGUAACUUGGACUAGUUUUUGGCUCCGCGCGCCGCGGCCGGGCGCACAUGGCGCGGGGAGGGUCCGGCUCCGGCCGUCCGGGUGCGCCGUGCGCGGUUGAUUCCGCCGCAGGGUGCUGCGCGCUUUUGAUCACGUUUCCGGAUAGUUCCGGUUCCGGAGGGCCCUUCCCUCGGUGGGUCGAGCUGCUGAUUCUGUCGGCGCCACUGCUCGUAGUUUGGCUAUGCACACUCGCGUGUCGCCGCUGCCCGUGUUCCCACUCGCAAGCAAAGUGCGUGCUCAGGGAAGAUAAGCCUCGAAUUGCAACGGAUUGAGCGCUACAACUUAAAAAAAGGACUCCGAAUCUUUGCACUGGACAUCAAAAGAUUUUGAGCAAUUACGUUUCAAGUGGUCUGUGUAGCUGUCGCUGAAAAUUUCUGUUGUUUCUAAAUCUUUGUUCUCUGGAAGCGAAAUCGAAUAAGAUUGAGACCAUAAGCAUAUUAUUAGCUAGACUAGACUAGGGUAUUUGGAUAACCUGUCACAUCGGAUGUUUGGAAGCUAAUUAGGAGUAUUAAAUAUAUAAUAAUUAAAAACUAAUUGCACACAUGAAGUCUAAUUUGCGAGAUGAAUCUAUUAAAUCUAAUUAGUCCAUAAUUUGACAAUGUGAUGCUACAGUAACUAUUGCUAAUGAUGGAUUAAUUAUGCUUAAUAGAUUCAUCUCGCGAAUUAGCAUAUGGUUCUCCAAUUAAUUUUAUAAUUAGCUCAUAUUUAGUCCUUCUAAUUAACAUCCGAACAUGACAUUGCUAAAAUUUAGCAUCUAGUAUCCAAACAACCUCUAGAUUGUUCUGAUCCUUGCUUUAGCUCUGCCAUAUUUUUCUGUUUCAGCCACGCACUGAUGCAUGUUCUGUAGCCGGUAGUGGUGUACGCAGAGCAGUGAUGAGCAGCACAUCCUGACCUCAGGCACCGAAAGAAGAAAAUGCAGGUGCGGAAAGCCGUGGACCACGACUGCAUCACUGUGCGCUCGACGAUUCCAGAUAUCGGCCAAAGCAAACUGCACAAGCUGCAGAGCACACUCCCCUUCGCUCGCCUGAUCCAAAGCUGCCCGCGCUCACUCCCAGGUCCCCAUGGGAUCCUACCACCACUACACCUCCACCUCCCAAUUCGUCUUCGCCGCCGUCGAUUCCAACCCCAACCCCGCCCACAAACCCAAGACCACCGUGCAAAUCCCCGUCACCUCCCCUUCGGAGGAGUGGGCUCGGGAGGAGCAGGGGUCGCGUGACGCCGCGGCGGCCGCCAGGAUCCAGGCGGCCUUCCGCGGGCACCAGGUCCGUCGGCACGUCGCGGCCGUGCGCGCGGCCGACGCCGAGGCGACGCGGCUGGAGCGGCUGCUCCGGCGGCAGGAGACCGUGGACGCGGUCCGGGGCGACGGGCGCGAGCGGGCCCGGUUCUCGGAGGCGCUGAUGGCCGUGCUGCUCCGCCUCGACGCCGUGCCGGGGCACUACCCGGCCGUGCGGGACGCGCGGCGCGCCGUGAGCCGCCGCGUCGUCGGCCUGCAGGAGGUGUUCGACGCCGUGGUCGCGGCGCCCGGGGCGCAGACGUGCGGGGUGCCGGCGAGCCUGGAGCAGGUACUCGAAGGGAUCUGGGGCGCCGGGGAGGCGCCGAUGCCGGCGCCGGCGGUGGAGGAGGAGGACGUGAGGAGGAGCGGGUCAUGCUGGGGGAGGUUUUUUGGGGGAGUAUAGCGAGCAGUGUAAUACUGUACGGUACAAGGAGGUGUCGAUGUGAUCAUCAGACGGUAGAAUACGAAGUGUAAUACGCACUCAUUUGUACAUGUAUUUUGUGGGCGUAUUGUAUACCCAUGUUGCAGUGAUCAGGAACGAUCUGCAUCAGUGCAUCCAUUUGUCAAUGUUCUGGCUGACCUUCAGCCCAAAUACUCAGCAGCACAGCAUGAAGAACAACUUGUAUGUCACAAUGGCUUUGGUUGUCGAAGGCUGGGCUCCAGAAAAACUCGAUUUCCUUGCAAUCCUCCCGCUCACUGUCUCACUCACCAAGUGACGAGCCUUCACAAAAGAUGGACUUAUUGAACACGAUUGGCUCAAACGCAGAGUUCCAGGAUCUCCUGAGAACCUUUGGCAGAUGGCAGAGGAAGCUCAUGCACAUAAGGUGGCUUAGAUGAUGCAGAGAUCAGAGGUAAAACCAUCCUGCAGAGAUCAGCAAACAUCACGUACUCUUGAGGAAUUUGCUCUGACUCUCCGUGCAGCUUGCCCUUCUCACGCGCUUAGGCUUGUUCUGCUUCACACGCUUCCUUAACCAAGGACUCCAACAAUCCUUUCUUUGUAGCCCUAACUUGAUGGGCAGACAGGAUUUUCUUGUAUCUCAAAGCUAGGACCUUACACAAGCAGCCAGCCGAACGAGCCGAAUAUAUUUAGGUGCCUCACCUUUCAACUUUAAUAGCACAACUUCUUAAAGCACCUGAAACUGAAAGGAACACGAUCGCAGCGCUCAGCGGAACCUUUGUGUGUAUUGCUAUGCACAAAUUUUCUAACUAGUGACUGCUUUGUAUGCGUUCGCCGGGGGAGGAUGCGAGGAGGGGGCUUUGCGCGAGGUUUGCGGUGGCCGUGCCUCCCUUCGAUGGCUCGACGCCGUUCCCAGGCACUACCAGGCCGUGAGCUGCCCCGUGGUCGACCGCAGGAGGUGUUUGACGCCGUGAUCGCGGCGGCGCCCGCGGUGCAUAUGUGCGGCCGGGUACCGACGGGCCUGUAGCAGCAGUGGCGUAGCCGAGUUUUAGGGGCAAGUAGUGUUAAAGUUUUCAAUGGUCAAAAUUUAAAUUUUAUAGUGAAAAUUUGUACGGAGAGCAAUUCCAAGAGGCUGCUAAUCUUACCCUUAAUAUCUUUUUUAAGGAAAAAAGAGAGAAAAAAUGAACUCCAACAAUCCACCUAAACCUUCCCCAAUUUUUUAGCGACGCUAAAAAAUAGUCUUCCACCGCGUAUAUUUUAGCGUUGACGUUCCUCCUCCAAUCCUGAUUCCCGUACGCCAGCGCGUCCCUUCCGAUGGGCCCAAUACGAUGACGUGGCCUGUGUUUGAAAUAUUGGAGGCUAUUUAUUAGCGAUCUGCUGUGGACUGAUAUGUUUUGGGGAAUUUUUUUUUGGGAGAACCUUCAAUACAUAAUUUGGGGGAAGAAUUUUUUAGGAUACUCUUGGAGUUGCUCUGAGGGAGUGUUUUUUUGUGUCGCUAAUCUUUUGUGGGAGUUUUGGGUGGAGUGUUGGAGUUUAUUUUUUCUUUUUUUUAAAAAAAAUAUUAGGGGUAAAAUUAGCAGCCUCUUGAAGUUGCUCUUGGGGUAUGGCCUCUGCUGUCCCCCGUACCUACACCACUGUGUAGCAGGUUCUUGAAGGGAUUCAGGGCGCCGGAGAGGCGCUGAUACCGGUGCCGGUGGUGGCGGCGGUGGUGGAGGAAUUCAGGAGGAGCGGGACAUAUUGGCUGGGGGAGGGGUUUUUAGGGGUGUAGCGAGCAGGGUGGCAACUGUGUGUAAUGAUCUCUAUGACGAUGGCAUUCGAGCACAGGUCCAUGUAAAAAAGCAAAAUUUUCUUUUCGAGAUGACAAUAUAUGUGACGCAAGCUGGAUAGGCAAAGCCCAGGCUGUAUCUUUUAGCAGCCCACUAGCCUUCUUCCGUCAUCAACCUGCCUGGCAGGCCGGCCCAGCCCGGCAAAUCCCUACGGCAGCACGGAGGCCUAGGAACCCAACAAAUCAACGCCAUCCUUUGACCUCUUUGUCCCGUCCGCCACAUCCACGCCGUCCAUCCACCCACCAACCCAACCCCGACUCCCCACCGCUCAUAAAUCGGCGAGAGGAAAAGAAAAAAAAAAGUCCCCGUGCUCUGCUGUGUUCUACUCCCACACCUGCGACUAAUCCCCCCCUCUCGCCCGCCCCCCUUCGUCUCGUCUCCCCCCCCUCCGCUUCACGCAUCUCACCGCCAUCCUUUACCUUCCCGCGUCUAAUUGAGCGCCAAAGCGGGGGGACAUUUGAAUUCCCCGCAGCUUCUGCUUCCUGCGCGGUCUCGUACCGUCCGGAGGCGCCGCCGGCCGGGCCCGGCCCUAUCCCCUUCCCCUCCUAGGGUUUCGCGUUCCCCUCGGGGGAUGGGGGACGCCCCCGCGGCGGCGGCGUCGCUCGCGGGGAAGCGGCGACGCGGCGAUGAAGGCGCGGGGCUGAGGCGGGUGGCGGAGAUCGUGAUGGUGCUGGCCGCGGCCGGGGAGGUGCGGGGCGGGAGGGAGCCCACGGCGGCGGAGCGGGCGCUCGCGGCCGAGGCGCGGGAGAGGCUGGCCGCAGCCGUCGCAGAGGGGGCUGUGCGGCCCAAGGAUCUGUUCCCCGGGGAGGCGGUGCGAGCGGUCGUCGAGGAUCUCGGCCUCAACCGCGCCAAGGACCCCGCCGCCAUGGGGUUCCGCCCGCCCAAGGCAUCCAUCGCCGAUAGGCUCAUGCUCACUAAGCGCAAGGUUUGCUAACUCUCUCUAGUUUCGAUCCGUUACCGCCCAGUUUAAUGGCCUUGUGGUGAACUGGUACGAGCUGCGAGAAUCUGAGGGGUGAUUAUUGUGGAUGUCAGAAUGCUCGUCAGACUAUUGAGCUGUAUUAGUUCGUAUGACAUGACACUGCUGCUAGCAUGGCGCAGGCUAUAGCAUCUGAAUGAUACAUUACCGAAUAAUUGAUCCUGAGGGAUUUGUUGGGGCGCUGCUCGUGUAUUGAUAUGCUUUGUUACUCUUGUUGUAUUCUAAUUCAAAGCGUUUUAUUUGCUCUUGAAGCUUUGCAUGUAUGCGCUUGAGCAAAUGUUUAGAUUUACGUUACUUGUUCUUGUAGAAUUAGUAUGUCUGACUUCUUGGCACCCUUUGUUUUUGUCCGUUAAGCUUACUAUCUGUGUUCGUUGAUCUCUUUGAAAUAGUUUAUUUCCGUGUUGACAUGACUUUUUUUUAGCUUAAGCGGUUUCAUGUAGGUUUAAGGUUAUGAAUUAUCAUUACCAUUGACUUGAAAAUUACUUGAAAAUUGGUUUAAGGUUACCUAUGAUCUGCGUAAGAAACACUAUGUAUUUACACUAUUUGACUAUUUCACUUAUUUGCUUUCACACAGAUGGAAGAAGUCAAGGAAGCUCCAGUGCAACCAACAGUUAGCACACCUCAAACUGCUGUCUCAACUGGAAUGGCUGAGUUCCAUGGUUUCAAUGGAGCUUCUAAGUUUGGUGUUGGAGUUCCUAGGAACCCACAAGUUGCAGCUGUAGCUGCGACUAGCCCAUUAACCUCAACAUCACCAGUUGUCUUGAAGCCACCAGGAUCAUCUCCUGUAAAACCAGUUGCCAACUCCUCAGGUGUUGCCCUACCCCAUACUGGUCCAUCACACCUUAAAUUGGACAAAGAUGUUAAUGGUCCUCUGAAUUUAACACGCAGUGGAGGUAUUGCUCUAUCUUCCUGUCUGCAGCAUCCAAUGUUAAUUGCUUAUUUUGCUUUUUUUUGAGUAAAAUUAGACACUUCCUACUUUAGUUUAUCGUAAAUAAGUUUCUUACUUGGCUCUUGAUGCAUGUUGAUGGCUUUUGCACAUAUAAAUCCUUUGACUGCUCAAAGCUGCAACAAAUAUGUCGUGCUUAAAUGUUUUAAUUAGGAGAAAUACCCCUCCCCUCAGUUUAGUUUAUAUUGUUCAGGGGUGCACAAAAGCACAUCACCUAAAAUGCAGCAACUGUAUGACAGCCGCGGUGGUUAAUAAAACUAGUGAAGCUAUUUUACAGUAGCAUUUCUAUCUUUUUUUCCCCCUGAACACUCUUGCUUUGGGGAAAUUAUGCUUACUUGAUGAAACUGUUAUUUGCUACUUCCUCAUUUGCAUACAAGGGGAGCUUAUUUUCUAUGCAUAUCCCUGAUUUUAUAGAAAGGAUGAUAUUCUUUUUAUCAGCUUUGCUCAGAAACUAAUUUGCCCGUAUUGCUUGCUUCUGCAGCAGCUGUUGUCCACCCAAACAAGUCUACUCUAGACACAUCUGCUAGGUCCAAUGUAAAUGCUGUACAGAGUUCCAAUCAGUUGUUGAAAAACCAGGACACAAAGCCAGUGGCAGUUCAAGCUGCCACAGGUAAUACUGUUGUGGGGCAUCGUGCUACACCAGGUGUGGCAUUUGUUCCACCAAAACCUACUUUUGUCAACCACAAUGAUAUAGCAAAGACCGUUCAACAGUUUCUGCACCAACCUGCAAACCAUCCUAGCUGGACUCCACCAUCAACUGAGUACAUGCAUUCUCGCUUGGGCUGUCAAAUAUGCAAAGUUGCUAUCACUGAUACAGACAGUUUACUUGUUUGUGAUGCCUGUGAGAGGGGAGUACACUUGAAAUGCCUUCAGCAGUAUGGUAAUAAAGGUGUCCCUAAAGCUGAGUGGCAUUGUUCAGCAUGCCUGACGCAGAGUAAGGGCAAACCCCUGCCACCAAAAUAUGGCAAGGUUACAAGAACUGUUGUUGCAUCAAAGGCUGCACCACCAGGUGGUGGAGCACAAGUUUCUUUGCCAGGAUCAGCAGAAAACAUGGCCGCAAAGGAGAAUCACCAAAAGUUGGCUGCAAAUGGAAAUCUUAUGAAGCCAAUCUCCAUUCAAGGUGGCAGCACUGUACACAACAUUAAUGUAUUGGCGCUGAGUGCUAUCACGGCUGGUUCACAAUCACAAUUAGCUUCUACCUUAAGACCUCCAAUAGGAAAUACUGUUAAAGCUGAAACCUCCUCUAAUGGAAAGGAGGGAACUGGGCAGCAGUGCAGUAGUAUGUUACAGCCUGAUGUGAAACCCCCUCCUGAUAAAAAAUUGAGAAGUGGUUCCUCUUUGAACUCUGCGGGGUCAGCAAACGAUAUCAUGAAUAGUGAGCAAACUGCAGAAAUUUCUGGUGCUGAAGCAAAGAUCAAGUCCGAAGCAAACUCUGACCCCCCUUUGAGCAGGAAUGAGGAAUUGGUUGAUAGUAGUGGAACAUCUGUUGAGCAAACUAAGAUUGUUGGUUCUGAAGAAAAGCCUAGUGCACAAGCGACCUCCGAGACAGAUAAAAUGAAAGAUAGUGAAACAACUGCCAACACUGGAACAUCAUUAGAUCAAAGAAGAAACUUUGCUACUGAAGAAAAGCUCCUCAGUGAAGCAACUUCUGAGGCACUCACAAUCAAUGCUGUGAAGAUGACUAGUACUGGAAUUGCUAUUGAAGAAAAGCUCCAGACUGAUGCAGCCUCUGAUCCACCUAGGAUCCAAGAUAUGGAAAUGGGUACCAACAAUGGACCACCAGCAGAUCAAAGCAUCAAUCUUGUUGCUGAAGAAAAGUCCCAGUCAGAACAAACCUCUUCAAUUGGUGAUACAGAUGUCACCGCUAAUGCUGGAAUACCAACAGAUCAAACACAGCAUUCGAAUGGGUCAACUGAAAAUGUAGUAAAAAAACCUCCUAAUGGAGAACCAUAUAAAGACAUGUUAGGCUGUAAUAUAGUCUCAGAUUAUGUUUCUACUCAAAAAGUAGCUUCAAAUGGCAUCUUACACCCUAAGGAUGAAACUUCAUGUGUUCAUGAGAAUGAAGCUGUUGGUUGCAACACAGAAGCAAACUAGUCCCAGUAGAAGGUUGCAUCCAAUUUUCUUUUUUCAGGUGUGUUUCUAAUUAAACCAGUUGUUACAAAUCUUUAUGCCAGUCAAAACUUAUACUCCCUAGUUCUUUGAAUCUUUGAUUUUGGAUUGAUAGUGGCUCAUAAAGUAUCAUAUUUGAAAACUGAUGCUUGUAGCUCUGAGUUGUUCCUAACUUAUUGCCAUGCCAAUAACAUUAGCCUGUUUGAACUCAUGGUACAAGUAUGCUCAGGAAAUCUUCAAUCGCCCAUAUUUAUUGCCGUGCAAGUUUUUGCACAAACUCUGAAAACUGAAACCUUUAUGUGGGCCUUUUGGAUUGAACAUUUGUAUCUGACCUUAUAUUUAAUCUUUUAUCAGAUGGAACUAUGCCGAAUCUACCAUUAAUUUUACCAGCGUCAUGAUCAACUGUGUUCUCUGCAUUCUCUUGGAUGACAUUAUACAUUUAGCCAUCGCCAACCAUUUUUCCAGGAGGUUUGUCACUAGCCCCUUCCUCUCAUUUUUUUUUAAUUUUGAGAUAGCCUCUUUUAAAAGUGAGAACCCUUGGAAACUUGCUCAUCAGGCUUACUAUUCAUAUUUUAGUAGUUUCACCAUAACUUUUUUUUAGUAUUUACGUUCCUGCUGACAUGAGGUUUACUUUAAACUCUGUAGGUAUCUACUACCUCCUGGUGUAGCUAUAGCAGCCUAGAACACAGGAAAUGUAACCCCAUGAUGUUGUACUUUAUGUAGAUUGAUAAUCUUGAGUUCCUAACUAUUUAAUUCCAUUUUCCCUUUUGUUUGUUCUGUGUUUAUCUGUAGUGUUGUAAUUAGAUAGGGUUUAGGUGAGUGAGGACUGGAUUAUCAUGUCACAAUAAUGAUACUUGCCUUCGCCAUUGCCUUGGGUCAGUUAUCAAUGUGGUACCGUGUGCCCUACAACUUAAUGUUCAUUGAGUUGCUAAUUCAUCCCAUUGGCCAUCCAGUGUUGUUCCUUCUGUCAGGUUGCUAGCUAUGCCUUUUUGGAGAAUGGGAAACGUUUACUCGGGAUGUUUGUCGUUGCAAUUUGGAAAGGACUUACAAUCUGGGGAUUGAUGCAACAAAGCCUUGCAGCUUGCGGGACAGAGAUGGAUGCUACAAUCCCAAUUUUUUCUUUCUUCUGUGUUUGUUCGUGAUCCUGAAUAUGCAGAUGAAAGAGCAUUGCUGCUAGAACUGUGCUUGUCCGCAGGUUUUCCAUUCCUGAACUACUGUCACAAAAUCGUGGAACACUUUUGGCUUUGAUACUUCACUUCGUAAAAAAGUAUAACAAGUAUUACUUGAGAUAAACGAGAACUUAAUUUAGAAGCAAAGAAUAACGGUAACAUUAGUUUCGAGCUCUUUAGUGAUCUCUGUAUACUGAGUGAAAACAGUUGCAUAAAUGAAAAGAGAGAAUUAGCAGCACUGUUGACAAAAUAUACUACAACUGAUUUUGAGGCUAAUUUGCCUGCGGUAACAAAUAGCCUCCACUGCAUGUUAAAAAAUUUGGUCCUCCCAUAUUGAUCUGGAGGUAGAAAGCAGAGAUCUGUGAUUAUUACCCCUAUUCGCUCUUUUUAGAAAAGAGUAAAUGGCAACAAAUCGCAACUUAUGACAUAUACAACUUCCAAUCCCUCGAUCUCUCGAUAUUUCUUGACCACGUGAAGUUCAUAGGAAUUAGGAAGAGCAAAAUUAUGAAAAUUAUAUGACAUGUUGACGUGUCCAUACAAUCUUUCAAUUCUUUAUACCGCCUUUUUAUUCUUAUAAUCAGGUAAAAUGUUAAGGAAUAAAUACUGAGAGGGAAAAACUUUUAGCUCUCAACUGAUGCGUACUAGUGUUCCCCAACUGAAGUAAACUAUGAUGAUCUGCAAGAAAUCACAGGAAAUAGCACAGAAGAGGCAAAGGUUUGAUCUCUACCGUGCCUAUGAGUUAUCUUCACUAAAGUCACUUGCAAGUUGCAAGUGUUGUUGAUCUGUUUGAAGUUGACAGCAGAGUUUUUCCCCCUUGGUGCUUUAUAUGAACACUGUCGUGUCUUUAAAGAAGUAAAUAUAUAUUAGUUCUAUCGAUCAUGUAAAUGUGAGGAUCAGGUGUCAUUGCUCUUUUGGGGGCAGGAACAUUACAUUGCAAGGUGAGGAUCAGAUGGCUACACUUUUGGUCGCAGUGGAAUCGUAAAACGCUACACUUACGAGCAGAGGUCACUGGGCUUUGCAUACGCUGUGGCUGUAUGAACUUUGCGUACGCCCGGUGCUAGAAGGUCGGAAGGAGAGGUGUGAUAAGCUUUGAGUAACUCUUAACUAUCUGCACGAAUGGUGUAACAACUGCCCCGCUAUCUCUGACAUGGAUUCAGUAAAAUUGAAUUCUUCGUGAAGAUACGGAGUACCAACAGCUAAACGGUAAGAUCCUGUGCAGUAGCCAUGGUACAAGCGGGGUCACAGGAUAACUAUUUUUGGUGGAAUUAGGGCUACUCCCACCAUCAAAAGUCAUGCAAAACUUGUGGCUACCAUGCUCGUGGUGGCUGUUUGGUUCCAAAGUUUGGCUGCUACAGCUUUUUACUAAGACAGGACGUCACCACAGGUGUGGCAUCAAUUUUUUUUCUCGCCACCAGCUUUAAUGUUGGCGGCAGCAUGGCAACAUGCGGCUGACUACCAAGCAGGUCUUUAGGGUCAACAUGGCAUGCUGCCAACAUAUUAAAGCUACGGAGAGUAUACAUCAGUAGUAGGCAAGGCGGACCAAUAUGUAGAGUCCAGUGAGGUCAUGUAUAAACUUCAUAAUUUCAACUUUUCUUCAUGCAUACCCCUCUCAACUCCAUAAUUUCAACUUUUCGGUAAGCGCCUCGUGCUUGAUCUUGUUCAGUAGUUGUAACUACCAAAGUAUCAGCUAGCGGUGAGUAGAAUGUAGUGAAUCACCUUCUUCCUCUCUUAACGCACUGACCGACUGACGCAUGGACCAACGAAGAGAGAUGGAUUUGACCUCCAUCAAGGCAGCGUGGUUGAAACAGCAACCCAAGACAAAGUUUAGGUGAUUAACGGGUAAAUACGUAAAAUAUCUGACCACAAAACUAGAACAUCUAUUUACCAUGAAAAGGAGGAAGUAUUUUGCAUUUCACUCAACAUAACAAAAUUCUAUGGCACGACUAAUGUAUAGCUCCGUUGGAAGACGUUAGCUGUAUUGGCCAUCGGCGCUCUACUUACACAGUCUCAUUUUUAACCUCCGGCAAAGUGGAUACAUUAGGGACUAGCUUCUCAGCUAGUUUGGUUGGAGGCAGUUGGUCGGAGGGAAAGGGAGUAAAGAUCUGAGAGAUUAAAAUUCUCUUAUUUGUUUGAUGAGUAUGGGAGUUUUAAUGGGAUGACAAAUGGGAAUUUAGAAGGGCAACUGCCACCAAUCACUCCCCAGGAGGAGGAGUGGGAAUUGUGUAAAAAUUUAUUUUAAGUGAAAGAAGGAUGCAUUUACACUAUUAAUCGUAGCUUAAGAUAUAAUUUCUUACCUCUGAACCCUUAUACCAAAUAAGGGAUAUGAAGUCUCACUUAAAUUUCCACUCUUAAUUCCCUCCGAAAGACAAACAAGGGAAUGAGACUAAAAAUCAUAUUCCAAGUGAAUUCCCUCCUCCAACCCCCACCACUAAUUCCCAUGCCCCUUCCCAUUAGUUGCCAAACGCACCCUUCAGUUCCCUUCCCAGUUCCUAGCCGAUUCAUCAGAAAUACAGGAUUUUACAAGCCAUCUCUGUUACAAGACGCAUCACUUUUUUUAAUGAAAAUAAUCUUUCCAAUCUAAAUUAUAUUUUAUUUUGAGUUUGUCCAAAGUCAAACUUAUCUUACUUUGACAUCGUUUAUAGAAAAAUUAUUAAAAAAGUUAUAUAAUAAUUGCAAUAUUGAAUAAAUGCAUUAUCGAGGUAUGGACCAUGGUAUAUCUAAUGAAAUUAGUUUGAUGUUAUAGAUAUUUAUAUAUUAUAUAAAUUUGAUCAAAUUUUAGAAAAAUAUGAAUUAAAUGAAAUAAGAAUAUUAGAAAAUAAUAAAAUAAAA